rnacentral:lncRNA from 1 species
AAACACAAUCAACCAGCUCAUCGUAUGUGCCAACAACUGGAUGGAACUCGUAGGGUAGAGAGUAGUUUUGCUCCAAAAUUUUUAACACCUCGUGGAAAAUAUCAAUACAGAAACCAGUAUAUUUUUUUUCAGGCUCGAUUUGAGCUUCGCCCACCUCCACAAAAUUUUUAAAAGUGCCGUUAGCUGGAAUUCCAAUCUUCAAUGGUUUUGGAUCAGUGGGCAUUUCCCAUCCCUUGGGGACACGUUUUAGGUACCCUGGCCAAAUCACUGGACCCUCCAAAAUCCUUGUGGUGUUUCUACCGCUAUUUUUGUCUCCACCUUCUCUGCUGAAAGGGUUGUCCAAGUCCUGUGUCCAAAAAUCAAGCUCCCUGUAACCCUUUCCAACAAUGUUUAUAAUAAUGAAUGGCAACGAAUUUGAAUUUGAAAAAUUAAUUGUUCCACUUAAACCACUGAAGUCACUUAAUAAUAUAUUUUUUAACAACAUUUUUGGAGUAUUAGUAUCAUCAGCUAAUCUCUCCAGGGCCCGUGUGAUGACAGCAAUGCUAUCAUAUGCUCGUAGUGCAUGAAUUCCUGGCUGGGCGUUGUCUUCCUCUGGGUAUUCAGAUUUAAAAUUUUUCUGAAACUGGGCAGAGAAUUCUUGGAAGGGCCUAUUGGAUUUGGAAUAGUAGGACUUGAUUCCUAGAGCCCCUUCCAUAUAGGAGAUAAAGGAGGUGUCCAUGGAAUCCAGGAAGCUUGAAAUGCUAUCUGUAAUUAUCCAGGCUGAGUCUUUCCCCAUAAAAUCCAUCCGCCUUGCUUCUUGGAACAAUUGGGUAGCCAUUGGUAAAGACGAUUGAAGAACAAUGAAAACUGAUAAGCCAAGAACAGAGGAGAACAGAGGAGUUGGUUCUGAUGUCACGAGAUGAAGCCCACUUGUUGUUAGAUUUAUUGUUAUUGAGUUGUUAUUUUUUACCAGCUGUCAUAACAGCCUGUCUCCAUCUAUUUUGAACACUAUAUAUAUAUUAAAUCUCUCUCUCUUGUUACUUUAACAAUAGAGAGCAGAGUUUUCAGCUUCAGCUUUUCUAUCUUGGUAUCAGAGCUAACAUUCAAGGUUUGAAUUUUUUCUUCUCUUUCUCACUUUCUCUCUGUUUCUCUCGAUCCAAACAUGGCCUCUACUCCGACACAGUCUUCUUCUUCCUCUGGUUCGAUUGGAUCUGGACAAAGCUCAACAAUGGCGUCCAUUCCUUCCUAUCAGAUGCUUAAUCACACUCUGCCUGUGAAACUUGAUCGGACGAAUUACAUCCUAUGGAGAUCUCAGAUUGAUAAUGUCAUUUUUGCUAAUGGCUUUGAGGAUUUCAUUGAUGGAACCUCUAUCUGUCCGGAGAAAGAUCUGAGUCCAGGAGUGAUGAAUCCAGCUUUUGUUGCUUGGAGGAGACAAGAUCGAACAAUCCUUAGUUGGAUCUACUCGUCGCUCACACCAGGUAUCAUGGCACAGAUCAUAGGCCAUAAUACUUCUCACUCUGCUUGGAAUGCCUUGGAAAGUAUUUUUUCAUCUUCUUCAAGAGCUAGGAUAAUGCAACUCAGACUCGAAUUACAAUCCACAAAGAAAGGAUCAAUGUCGAUGAUAGACUACAUAAUGAAGAUCAAAGGAGCUGCUGAUAAUCUAACUGCUAUUGGAGAACCUGUCUCAGAACAAGAUCAGGUUAUGAAUCUUCUUGGAGGUCUUGGAUCCGAUUAUAAUGCUGUUGUUACUGCUAUCAACAUUAGAGAUGAUAAGAUCUCUCUUGAAGCUAUACAUAGUAUGCUAUUAGCCUUUGAGCAUCGUCUUGAGCAACAAAGCUCGAUUGAACAAAUGUCUGCCAAUUAUGCCUCUUCCUCUAAUAACAGAGGUGGUGGAAGGAAGUUUAAUGGAGGUCGUGGACAAGGCUACUCUCCAAAUAACAAUAAUUACACCUAUAGAGGUCGUGGACGUGGAGGUAGAAAUGGACAAGGUGGAAGGCAAAAUUCCAGUCCAAGUGAGAAACCUCAGUGUCAGUUAUGUGGUAAGUUUGGCCACACUGCUCAGAUCUGUUAUCACAGGUUUGAUAUCUCUUUUCAAGGAGGUCAGACUACUAUUUCUCAUUCUUUGAAUAAUGGGAAUCAAAACAAUAUACCUGCUAUGGUUGCUUCUGCUUCUAAUAAUCCUGCAGAUGAAAGUUGGUAUUUGGAUUCUGGAGCAAGUCACCAUCUGACUCAGAAUUUGGGGAAUCUCACCAGUACUUCACCAUACACGGGAACAGAUAAAGUCACUAUUGGUAAUGGUAAGCAUCUCUCCAUCUCCAAUAUUGGCUCUAAACAACUUCAUUCUCAUACACAUUCUUUUCGACUCAAGAAGGUGUUUCAUGUUCCCUUUAUCUCAGCUAAUUUGAUUAGUGUGGCUAAGUUCUGCUCAGAAAAUAAUGCCUUGAUUGAGUUUCAUUCUAAUGCUUUCUUUGUGAAGGAUCUACACACGAAGAUGGUUCUUGCUCAAGGCAAGCUUGAAAAUGGCCUUUACAAGUUUCCUGUGUUCAGCAAUCUGAAACCUUAUAGUAGUAUUAAUAAUGCUUCUGCUUUCCAUUCCCAAUUUUCGAGUACUGUUGAAAAUAAAGCAGAGUUAUGGCACAAUAGACUAGGCCAUGCUAGUUUUGACAUUGUUUCAAAAGUCAUGAAUACUUGUAAUGUUGCUUCUGGGAAAUAUAAAUCCUUUGUUUGUUCUGAUUGUCAGUUAGCUAAAAGUCAUAGACUACCCACUCAGCUCUCAAAUUUUCAUGCAUCUAAACCUUUAGAACUUGUUUAUACUGAUAUUUGGGGACCUGCCUCAAUUAAAUCUACAUCUGGAGCGAGAUAUUUCAUUCUUUUUGUAGAUGAUUAUUCCAGGUAUACUUGGUUUUAUUCAUUACAAACAAAGGAUCAGGCUCUUCCCAUCUUUAAGCGAUUCAAGCUUCAAAUGGAGAAUCAGUUUGACACCAAAAUUAAGUGCUUACAGUCUGAUAAUGGUGGAGAAUUUCGAUCUUUUACGUCUUUUCUUCAAGCAGUUGGUAUUGCCCAUCGAUUUUCCUGUCCAUACAACUCAGCUCAAAAUGGUAGAGUUGAGCGGAAGCACCGACACGUAGUUGAAACUGGGUUGGCUUUGUUAUCUCAUGCUUCCUUGCCAAUGAAGUACUGGCACUAUGCUUUUCAGACAGCAACUUUUCUUAUCAAUCGAAUGCCAAGCAAAGUUCUCGAGUAUGACUCUCCUUACUUCACUCUUUUUAGAAGGCAUCCUGACUAUAAAUCUUUUCGUGUAUUUGGCUGCCUUUGUUAUCCUUUCAUUCGGCCAUACAACACUCAUAAAUUGCAGUACAGAUCUGUCCAAUGUCUUUUUCUUGGCUAUAGUUUGAAUCACAAGGGGUUUUUAUGUCUUGAUUAUGCAACUGGAAGAGUCUAUAUUACUCCCCACGUGGUCUUUGAUGAAUCAACUUUCCCACUUGCUCAGUCCAAGUCUUCCAGUUCGUCUAAUGACACUUCAGCAGAAGGCUCUACCCCUGCCCUUAUAACUCCUCCUUCUUUUCCAUGUCUUCUCCCAGAUUCAAAAAUCAGUCAUGUUUCCAUAGAUUCUCAUUCUCUAUCCACAAGUGAAAGUCCUAUUCCUACAACCUCUUCUUCACCUCUGGACACAUCUAGUUCUUCUCCUGCUAUAGAUUUAUCACCUAAAUCUGUUCCAGAACCUCAAAUCACUGCUCUUUCUCCACGAAUGACAACAAGGUCCAUGCGUGGUAUAACCAAGAAAAAGACCAUUCUUGAUCUCUCUGCCAUAAAGGUUUCAGAACCAUCUACUCUCAAACAAGCCUUCAAAGAUCCAAAUUGGACUAAAGCUAUGGAAAUGGAGAUUGCUGCUCUUCAUAGAAACCAUACUUGGGAUCUUGUUGAACAACCACCCAAUGUCAAUGUGAUUGGCUGUAAGUGGGUGUAUAAACUGAAACAUAAGCCAGAUGGGAGUAUAGAGAGGUAUAAAGCUAGGCUUGUGGCAAAAGGAUAUAAUCAGACUCAUGGUCUGGACUAUUUUGAGACGUUUAGUCCAGUAGUUAAGGCUGCCACUAUUCGCAUCAUACUUACUGUUGCUCUCAGUUUUAAGUGGGAAAUUCGACAGCUUGAUGUUCACAAUGCCUUCCUCAAUGGUGAGCUAGAAGAACAAGUCUAUAUGUCUCAACCUCCUGGAUACUUUGACCCUCAAUUCCCGAAUAGAGUGUGCAGAUUGAAGAAGGCUUUAUAUGGCUUAAAACAAGCCCCACGUGCUUGGUUUCAAAGACUCAGCUCUGCUCUUCUUCAGUGGGGAUUCAGCAUGUCUCGGACUGAUAGUUCUAUGUUUCUGCACUUUGGAAAGGCCACUACUUUGAUAGUUCUUGUCUAUGUUGAUGAUAUCCUUGUAACGGGCAGCUCCUCCACACAGAUUUCGUCUCUCAUAGCUAAACUUGAUUCAGUUUUUGCCUUACGAGAUUUGGGUCAACUCUCAUUCUUUCUCGGUAUAGAGGUUUCUUACAAUGAAGGCUCUAUGACUUUGAGCCAAACCAAAUACAUUUCAGAUCUUCUUCAUAGAACUGAACUGUUUGAUACCAAACCGGCAAACACACCUGGUGCUGUUGGGAAGAACUUGUCUAAAUUUGAUGGAGAUCCUAUGACAGAUGUUACCCAUUAUCGAAGUGUAGUAGGGGCACUUCAGUAUGUUACCUUGACAAGACCUGAUAUAGCCUUUGCUGUCAAUAAGGCAUGCCAAUUUAUGCAACAACCAACCACAGCUCACUGGCUCUCAGUCAAACGAAUACUUCGGUAUCUAAGAGGAACAAUGCAAGAUGGGCUCCUGUUCAGUCCUUCAAGUAACUUGACAAUAGAGGGAUUCACAGAUGCAGAUUGGGGUGCUCACCUUGAUGAUAGGCGCAGCUCAAGUGGAUAUCUAGUUUAUCUAGGAGGUAACUUAGUCUCUUGGUCCUCUACCAAACAAAAAGUGGUGUCUCGCAGUAGUGCCGAGUCUGAGUAUCGUGGUCUUGUUUUCGCUACUGCUGAGAUUGUUUGGAUGCAAGCCUUACUGCAAGAGCUAUGUGUGCCAAUACCUGCUAUACCUCUACUUUGGUAUGAUAAUAUCAGUGCUUACCAUAUGGCAAAGAACCCUGUGUUUCAUGCUAGAACUAAACACAUAGAAAUAGACCUUCAUUUUAUACGAGAUCAAGUCAUGAGAGGAAAGAUACAACUGCAAUUUGUUCCCACUGAAGAGCAGCCAGCAGAUUUAUUGACUAAGCAUCUCACAAGUUCAAGGUUCUUGUCCCUCAAAUCUCAGCUUUGUAUAGCUCCAAGACCCUUUCACUUGAGGGGGGAUGAUAAGCCAAGAACAGAGGAGAACAGAGGAGUUGGUUCUGAUGUCACGAGAUGAAGCCCACUUGUUGUUAGAUUUAUUGUUAUUGAGUUGUUAUUUUUUACCAGCUGUCAUAACAGCCUGUCUCCAUCUAUUUUGAACACUAUAUAUAUAUUAAAUCUCUCUCUCUUGUUACUUUAACAAUAGAGAGCAGAGUUUUCAGCUUCAGCUUUUCUAUCUAAAACCCUGGAUCGUGUGCUCAGAAGCUUCAAGAGCUCUUGAUGGACAGCUCCUCUUGGAUCAGAUAGAGAUGAUAUGGGAGGAAGAGGCAAAUGGUACUCAAUCUCGGAGCCAACUCUUUGAAGAGCUUCAGAAAAAAUAGUUAACAUCUCAGCGUUCCCACCGUACGCAUCAUCUUCAUAGAUUGCGAUGACCCUUCACCAGUGAUAGGAGUGAACGAUAGCUGCAAUGCACCUUAUUUGUUCAGAAACAUUGGUGCCCAUUUGUAUCAGGGUGGACCUUCCAAGCUGCCUCGAUGGCCGGACACUCGCGGCUGCCGCCAAUGAAAGAACUGGUACUUGAGCUUGGUUUCCGAUUUCAUCAGCUAAAGCUGCUUGCUGCCAUGUAUCCAUGCCCACAAUCACUUGCACUUUCUUCUCUUUAAUCAGUUCUUCAGCUGUAAUUAAAUGUUAUGAACCCCAUCAAUUGUAUUCCAUUUUUGUUCUGCCUAUUUCAUUCAUAUUCAGUACAUAACAGUGUUUUUCAAUACAUGGAAGCAAUAAAAAUCCAUUUCCACCUAUUUCAAUUUCUUUUCUUUUUCUAAAUGAUGAGUGCUACUUAAAACAAGUCAAGUUAUCCUAAAUUUAUUUUUUAGAGGAAAACUUAAGAAUGAAAAAAAAAAAAAGGAAAAGAAAAAGGAAAAACAUUAGAAUUUAAUAUUUUUUUUAUUUUACUAUGAUUGCGAAAUGACCAAUAUAAAGACAUCCAUCUCUCUAUAUCUUCCUACUUUUAUUUUUUAAAAUUAAUAUAAAAAAUAAAAAAAUUAUUUUUACUUCUUUAUAUCCAUUCAAAGUUUAACCCUAAUUCUUCCUUUGUCCUUUCCUCUGCCUCGUCCCUUCUUUUCCCUCCUAGUGGGUCAUGAAUGAUACAAAGGAAGAGAAUAAAAGGGAAACAAAAUUGAGGUGGGUGUUAAAGAAGAUGAGGAUAAUUUUAUCCUUUCAUAUUUAAUUUUUAAUUUAAAAUAAAUAAAAAAAUAAAAAAUAGAAGAUGUAUAAGUGACGUAGAGAUAGUUUGGGUGGCUGAUGUUAUAACCACUCGUGUAUCAUGCUAGAGGAUUAAUGUUGAAAAUAAUAGGUGAUUAGACAGCCGUAGAAGGAAUCAAGGAAGAGAUGACCAACCAGUUAAGGCCGCCCCAUAGAGUUCUCCGGUGAAGUUCCGGGAGAUAAGAGAGAGCUUAUGAUUCUUGGAAUUGUUAUUGAACUUAUCCACAGCUAUCUUGAUGGCGGUUAUUUCCUCUUUACCUUUACGAGAAUUAGCAUCAAUGAUUGCCCCAAUGAUGGUGGAGUUGUCAUCUACUGCUGUGCCGGUGAUGUAUCCAAGAUGGCAGACAAUUAAAAGAAUGGAGGUAAGUGAAAAGCAGAUGAAACAUGGUGUUGGAGAAUUCAGUGGGGAGGGCAUUUCUGCUCUUAGCAACCAGCAAGCAAUUAGUGCCUUAAAGGAGAUUCUUCUAAGCUUAAAUAAAUAUAAAUUCACAAGUAGAAUAUUCAUUUCGAAUCCCCAGUAUGAAGUUUCCUUCUUACUUCGUAAGUCAAUUCUUGCUGUGGAAUUCCCUUCCAUUACUUUCAUUCUCCUUGUACGUGGUAUUCAAAGCCAACCGCAUGGAUUUAUGGCCAAGGACAAAGAAGAUUAAACAAUGUGUCGUUUUCAUUCAAGGAUUUAGUGGUGUUGGAGGUAAGAUGGGAAGGCAUGUGUGGUAUUGAUGGGAGAUGAUAAGAUGGAAAUCAUAACCAUAGCCAUGUUCUCUAUGUGUCUUUCUAUCCUCUUCAAUUAAUUCAUGAGCAUAAAUAUUUUAUUUAGUUUUUAUAUUUAGUUUAUUUAUAGUUUAUUUAGUUUCUAAAAUCCAAUAAGUUAGAUAUUUUAUUUGAUUUUGUUUUUAUAUUUAAGUAUUUGAGUUUUGGAAAGUUUUUAUAUUUUGUUAAUAGAAAUAGAAAUUUUUAUAUUUUUUAUUAUUAGGAAUUUCUAUUUUGUUAAAUUGUAAGUAUCUAUCUCAAUAAGAAAUUAUUAAUAUUCAAAUGAAAGUGAUGAAAGAGAGUAAAUAUUUUAAUGCUCAAUUAUAUUUUAAUGUUAUUUUUUUUUUUUACAUAAAGGUUUAUUUAUGUUUUCAAUUUUGAAGUUCUCUUUCCAAGUCCAACAACAAAAGUAGUGUCCAACCUUAAAAUGGGCAUGUGUGGUAUUGACGGGAGAUGAUAAGAUGGAAACCAUAACCAUAGCCAUGUUCUCUCUGUGUCUUUCUAUCAUCUUCAAUUAAUUCAUGGGCAUAAAUAUUUUAUUUAGUUUUUAUAUUUAGUUUAUUUAUAGUUUAUUUAGUUUCUAAAAUCCAAUUAGCUAGAUAUUUUAUUUGAUUUUAUUUUUAUAUUUAAGUAGUUGAGUUUUGGAAAGUUUUUAUAUUUUGUUAAUAGAAAUAGAAAUUUUAUAUUUUUUAUUAUUAGGAAUUUCUAUUUUGUUAAAUUGUAAGUAUCUAUCUCAAUAAGAGAUUAUUAAUAUUCAAAUGAAAGUGAUGAAAGAGAGUAAAUAUUUUAAUGCUCAAUUAUAUUUUAAUGUUAUUUUUUUUUUACAUAAGGGUUUAUUUAUGUUUUCAAUUUUGAAGUUCCCUUUUCAAGUCCAGCAACAAAAGUAGUGUCCAACAUUAAAAUGGGCAUGUGUGGUAUUGACAGGAAAUGAUAAGAUGGAAAUCAUAACCAUAGCCAUGUUCUCUCUGUGUCUUUCUAUCCUCUUCAAUUAAUUCAUGGGCAUAGAUAUUUUAUUUAGUUUUUAUAUUUAGUUUAUUUAUAGUUUAUUUAGUUUCUAAAAUCCAAUUAGCUAGAUAUUUUAUUUGAUUUUGUUUUUAUAUUUAAGUAAUUGAGUUUUGGAAAGUUUUUAUAUUUUGUUAAUAGAAAUAGAUAUGAGGACUUAAAGGGUUUAUAUUUAGGUAGUGCUUGAGCCAAGGAAAAUGAUAGUCCACUAUCUUGACCCUAUGCAUCACAAACCAUGUGAGGACUUAAAGGAUAUCGUAAACAUGUAAGUUCUUCAUAUUAUUUUUCAUAGUAUUAUUUUUAAAUAAAAAAAAUACAUUCACCUCAAACACAUUUUUUUUAUUUAUAUAUAUUAAAACAUAUAACAUUUACCUAUUUUAAAAAUGUACCCAUUGAACUUAUUUACAUAGGGCUCUUCGAAUAUCUGCAAAGAAAACAUCUAAGAGGGAGCCAUCUUAGCAACUAGUGUAGGUGACAUCCAAAAAUUUUUCUUUACACAUUAGCUUAUGCAUUUGCACCAUUUAUAUAUGUGAGUACUAAUGUUAUUUUAUAAUUGAUUGAUUAGUGUCCAAGACAAGAAGGAGGGUUCGAAUGUGGCUACUUUGUUAUGAGAUUCAUUAAAGAGAUAAUUUUUGAUCCUACAAUUAUUGCUUCAAAGGUAUUACUUAUUUAAUGAAUUGUACAUAGUUUUAGGCUUCCAAAUGUUAUGCAUUUUAAUGUUAUUUUCUUAUUUGAUUUCAGUUUGGUAAUAAAAAAAAACAUAUUCUCAAGUAGAAUUCGAUGAAAUUAGAGGAGAAUGGGCUACUUUUGUGCUACAACUAAUCAUGAAUCAUGUUGAUGCAUCAUGAUCACCAUGCAUGGUGAGUCCCUUAGCUACUACAUGAAUUUUUCCAUAGGUAUUGUAUAGUAAUGCUUAUUCUUUGAAUAAUGUUUCUAUUUGAAAAAAAAAAUUAAUUCUUAGAUAUGUUCAUUUAUGAUAACAUAGAUCCAUGUUUAUUUUCUUCAAUAAAAAUCUCUAAAACUCAUUAAAUUUUGAAAUGCAGGUAUACACUCUUGGGAGGGUGAAAUGGAGAAUAAAAAGAAAGAAGAAGGCAACAAGAUUUUGGGUUUUUAAAUGCAACUCUUAUGUCAUACGUUGUAGGACAUAAACGUUACUUUAAUUGCAACUGAGAAAUUUAGAUUUUUAGAUGGGACUUCUAUGUCAUUUUAUGGUUAGCCGGUUUUAUGCUUAUGAAAUGGAGGUAUACAUGAAUCUUGGGAUCUUUAACAUUUCUAAAUCAUGUUUUGGUAUGUAUUCACUCUUCUUUUUUAGUUUUGAUGGGUUUGAUAUGUUGGAUGUACUAUCCUUUUGUGAACAUUUGAUAUACAAAUAUUAUUAGAUGAUCAAUGUAUUAUGAGUUAUUCCAGAAACAUUACAGAAAAAUGAGUUAAAUAUAAUAUGAUUGUUAUAUUUAUGGACAAAAUAUAAACAGGUUAAUCUUAUUAAUUCAUAAGCAUUACAAAAAUCAACAACUAAAACCAAUCAUAUAUUCCACAAUAAUUUACAAUGAUGUGAUACCAUAUCUCAAAGGUGAUGCAUUUAAUGUGACAUCAUAACUCAAAGAUGAUGUAUUUAAUGUGACACCCUAUCAUCACUAGAAAUAUAUGGUGUCACUUCUGAAUGGGUCACCAUUUAUCUAAUUUGGUGUCACUUCCAAAUACGUCACCAAUUGGUACCCUCUAUGGUGUCAGUGGAGAAGGUGACGCUAUGUUGUAGUGACACCUUAUGUUUAUGGUGACUCGUUAUAAAUGUCACCAUAUACCUUUUUCCUUGUAGUGGUCUCUCUGAAAUAAUUAUCCCAGUAGUACUGUUCCUGAUUUGUGAAGUUGCAGGCCUUGGAAGUCAUUGUCCACAGUUUUCUGUUUUUAAACGACUUGCUCAGUCAAUCUUUCCCCCCUCACAUAAAACACGGUUUUGAAAUUUAGGGAAAGUUGUGUUUGCAGCCAACUAUUUGAAAGUAAUAUGACAAUCAAACUCCAAUCAGCUGGAAUAUGAGAUUUGAUUGUCAAAGGAGAAAAUAUUAUCUUUCUUGUGCACUCUUUGCUGACUCCAUUUUAUGUUCCUAGAUUGCCCCUCCAUGCCACCAUGUCAGCUGCAACCUUGUCUCCAUAUCAGCAGCAAGCCCUCCAUGUCACAAAAGAGAUUGAAAAUUUUAAAAACAAAAAAAUCUAAAUUUGAAACCUAUGAAAAAUCACUCGACCCGACAAUUGACUGUUAUUUCCCUAAUAUGAAACCUUUCUUUUCUCUGAUUUGGGAACAUUUCUCUCUCUCUCUUGGCUUCAUCACCCACACAAUCCUGAGACCCAUAUAAAAUUUCCCAAAAAUUGUCUCAUUUGAGAGAAAAAACCAUUAAUCCAAAACUCCAACCUGGGUGUUUCUUUCAUGUCCACAUAAAAGUGCAAUGAAAUGGAGCAUUCCAUCCUAAAAGCGUUCAGUUAAAAGACGACUUCAAGAGGCAUAUAUGUGAUUGUGAAUUUACUACAGCAGCGCGUACCCAAAUAGAAAGCUAGAAUCCAAAAUAUUGGCUUCGUCAACAAGAUAUCUCUUCCUGUCAUUGAGCGCAUUUUGCCCUAACCCUAAACUGAAAUUUGAAGGUAAAUAAUUUUUAUUUAUUGUUCUUUAGUUUGAAAUGGGGCACAUCAAUGAUUUUGGAGUCGUUGGUGGACUUGAACUUUUGUGUGGGGAAGUGGAAACCAUAUUAUUCCCAAAUAACCAUAUGACCUACAAGUCGCAUUGAAUCCAGAUGGAACUUACAACAUAUCCGAUUGCAAGUCCCAUUGUUAUUUUGGGGACUGUACCUUAGGUACUACCUUAAUAGCCCUUAGGUACCACCUUAAUCUACCUUAGGUACUACCUUAACGGAGCUUAGGUACUACCUUAGUUAAACUUGGGUACUACCUAUCCGAAGCAUUGAAACUUCAAUUGUGGACAUUACUUACUUCAUUUGUGACCCUUAGAGCAUGCCAUUAUGUGAUUAUUUAGUGUGCUCAAUUGGUUCACCUUUCCUAUUUUGGGGACUGUACCUUAGGUACUACCUUAAUAGCCCUUAGGUACCACCUUAAUGUACCUUAGGUACUACCUUAACGGAGCUUAGGUUUUACCUUAGUUAAACUUGGGUACUACCUGUCCGAAGCCUUGGAACUUCAAUUGUGGACAUUACUUACUUCAUUUGUGACCCUUAGAGCAUGCCAUUAUGUGAUUAUUUAGUGUGGUGAAAUGAUUCACCUUUCUUAUUUUGGGAACUGUAUCUUAGGUACUACCUUAAUAGCCUUUAGUUACCACCUUAAUCUACCUUAGGUACUACCUUAACGGAGCUUAGGUACUACCUUAGUUAAACUUGGGUACUACUUGUCCGAAGCAUCGAAACUUCAAUUGUGGACAUUACUUACUUCAUUUGUGACCCUUAAAGCAUGCCAUUAUGUGAUUAUUUAGUGUGCUCAAUUGGUUCACCUUUCCUAUUUUGGGGACUGUACCUUAGGUACUAUCUUAAUAGCCCUUAGGUACCACCUUAAUGGCCCUUAGGUACCACCUUAAUGGCCCUUAGGUACCACCUUAAUGGCCCUUAGGUACCACCUUAAUGUACCUUAGGUACUACCUUAACGGAGCUUAGGUACUACCUUAGUUAAACUUGUGUACUACUUGUCCGAAGCCUCAGAACUUCAAUUGUGGACAUUACUUACUUCAUUUGUGACCCUUAGAGCAUGCCAUUAUGUGAUUAUUUACUGUGGUGAAAUGAUUCACCUUUUUUAUUUUGGGAACUGUACCUUAGGUACUACCUUAAUAGCCCUUAGGUACCACCUUAAUAGCCCUUAGGUACCACCUUAAUGUACCUUAGGUAUUACCUUAAUGGAGAUUAGGUAUUACCUUAGUUAAACUUGGGUACUACCUAUCCGAAGCCUCGAAACUUCAAUUGUGGACAUUUCUUAUUCCAUUUGUGACCCUUAGAUCAUGCCAUUAUGUGAUUAAUUAGUGUGCUCAAUUGAUUCAAUUUUGUUAUUUUGGGGAUUGUACCUUAGGUACUACCUUAAUAUCCCUUAGUUACCAUCUUAAUGUACUUUAGGUACUACCUCAAUGGAGAUUAGGUACUACCUUAGUUAAACUUGGGUACUACCUGUCCGAAGCCUCGGAACUUCAAUUAUGGACAUUUCUUACUCCAUUNNNNNNNNNNNNNNNNNNNNNNNNNNNNNNNNNNNNNNNNNNNNNNNNNNNNNNNNNNNNNNNNNNNNNNNNNNNNNNNNNNNNNNNNNNNNNNNNNNNNNNNNNNNNNNNNNNNNNNNNNNNNNNNNNNNNNNNNNNNNNNNNNNNNNNNNNNNNNNNNNNNNNNNNNNNNNNNNNNNNNNNNNNNNNNNNNNNNNNNNNNNNNNNNNNNNNNNNNNNNNNNNNNNNNNNNNNNNNNNNNNNNNNNNNNNNNNNNNNNNNNNNNNNNNNNNNNNNNNNNNNNNNNNNNNNNNNNNNNNNNNNNNNNNNNNNNNNNNNNNNNNNNNNNNNNNNNNNNNNNNNNNNNNNNNNNNNNNNNNNNNNNNNNNNNNNNNNNNNNNNNNNNNNNNNNNNNNNNNNNNNNNNNNNNNNNNNNNNNNNNNNNNNNNNNNNNNNNNNNNNNNNNNNNNNNNNNNNNNNNNNNNNNNNNNNNNNNNNNNNNNNNNNNNNNNNNNNNNNNNNNNNNNNNNNNNNNNNNNNNNNNNNNNNNNNNNNNNNNNNNNNNNNNNNNNNNNNNNNNNNNNNNNNNNNNNNNNNNNNNNNNNNNNNNNNNNNNNNNNNNNNNNNNNNNNNNNNNNNNNNNNNNNNNNNNNNNNNNNNNNNNNNNNNNNNNNNNNNNNNNNNNNNNNNNNNNNNNNNNNNNNNNNNNNNNNNNNNNNNNNNNNNNNNNNNNNNNNNNNNNNNNNNNNNNNNNNNNNNNNNNNNNNNNNNNNNNNNNNNNNNNNNNNNNNNNNNNNNNNNNNNNNNNNNNNNNNNNNNNNNNNNNNNNNNNNNNNNNNNNNNNNNNNNNNNNNNNNNNNNNNNNNNNNNNNNNNNNNNNNNNNNNNNNNNNNNNNNNNNNNNNNNNNNNNNNNNNNNNNNNNNNNNNNNNNNNNNNNNNNNNNNNNNNNNNNNNNNNNNNNNNNNNNNNNNNNNNNNNNNNNNNNNNNNNNNNNNNNNNNNNNNNNNNNNNNNNNNNNNNNNNNNNNNNNNNNNNNNNNNNNNNNNNNNNNNNNNNNNNNNNNNNNNNNNNNNNNNNNNNNNNNNNNNNNNNNNNNNNNNNNNNNNNNNNNAUUAUUUAGUGUGGUCAAUUGAUUCACCUUUCUUAUUUAGGGGACAGUACCUUGGGUACUACCUUAAUAGUCCUUAGGCACCACCUUAAUUUACCUUAGGUACUACCUUAAUGGACCUUAGGUACUACCUUAAUGUAGCUUAGGUACUACCUUAGUUAAACUUGGGUACUACCUAUCCGAAGCCUCGGAACUUCAAUUGUGGUCAUUACUUACUUCAUUUGUAACCCUUAAAGCAUUCUAUUAUGUGAUUAUUUAGGGGUUUCUUUGGUUUCUAUAGGCCGAUAUGGAAAUAUUGGUAAAAUAAAAACCUAACUUUCCCAUUCUAAAGUUAACCAUAUUAAUAUUAAAAAUAUUUUGGUUUCAUGCACUUUGAGCUUAUAUGUUUUUUGAUGCCAAAUUUACCCUCCAUUUAUUCCAGGUAAGCAUCCACAUGUUAAAAAAAAAAAAAAAAAACCAAAAAUUAAAAUUUCUUUCUUUCUUUCUCUCUUUUUUCUCUUUCUCCACCAAGCACCAAAGAAAACUCAAGAUCUCAUUUGUUCAUCUCCUUACCCUUCUCAAAACCUAAAGAAACGCUAAGAUUAAAACUUUACCUCCAUUUCCAUUUUGAUCGAUUCACCAACUUGAAAAUAUUGGGGAUUUUGAAAUCUCUCACCCAAUUAAUCUACUUUGUGUCUAUUCAUUUUGAUCAUCAUCAUCAUGGUCCUCUAAGAUUGGAUUUUUGGAUUGGUAUUUGGGUAUGCUCGAAACUCAUCCUCUCAUCACCAAAAUCAUUACAUCCUCCAUCUUCUUCUCAAUUGCUAACUUGAGUUGCAUUUUUCCCUAACCCCAAACCGAAAUCUGAAGGUAAAUAAUUUUUAUUUAUUGUUCUUUAGUUCAUUUGUUUGAAAAGGAGCACAUUAACGAUAUUGGAGUCGUUGGUGGACUUGAACUUUUGUGUUGGGUUGUGGAAACCAUAUUAUUCCCAAAUAACCAUAUAAUCUAUAAGUCGCAUUGAAUCAAGAUGGAACUUAUAACAUAUUUGGUUGCAAGUCACAUUGUUAUAUUGGGGGACUGUACCUUAGGUGCUACCUUAAUAGCCCUUAGGUACCACUUUAAUCAACCUUAGGUAUUACCUUAACUGAUCUUAGGUACUACCUAUCCGAAGCCUCAGAACUUCAUUUGUGACCCUUAGAGUAUGCCAUUAUGUGAUUAUUUUGUAUGGUCAAGUGGUUCACCUUUGGUAUUUUGAGGAUUGUACCUUAAGUACUACCUUAAUAGCCCUUAAGUACCACCUUAAUCAACCUUAGGUUCUACCUUAACCGACCUUAAGUACUACUUUAACCUACCUUGAUGAUGCAAUUAUAUACUAAGCAAGACCACCAACAUGGAUGUAUUGACCAUCUGAAUAUUCAGAUUCCUUCAACUUUCCCAAGAGAUUUACAAGGAAAUUUCCACUGUACCUCCUGUAUAACAACUAUAAGAAAUAAAAUUGUUAGUAUAACACUAGAAGAAAAUGACCGCAACUCAUGUAUACAAGCUUAAAGCUUAAGUGCUUGGGAUAUAAAGUAAAGGUUGGAAACAAGAGCAGACUGUAGAAUGAUGGGCACGUUAGAAGUGUAGAACAACAUAAUAAGAUAUGAACCCUGCUGUCUAUGAGCAUUAUUUGACCUCACAAGGCAAAACCACCUGAAACCCUUGGAAGUAGAUAACAAUAAGGAAGAUCAAUACUGUUGCAAGCAAAUUUGUCACAUUUGGAAGGUUCUGCCGAUAGAAAGCCUCCUGUAGAGGUCGAACUUUAUCUAUCCGAGUUGUUAGCAGAUAGAAGAGAGCAAUAACAACACCUUCAAAUUCAACUCCAUGAUCGCUAUUAAUAGUAGUGGGGCUAAAAGCCUUCCAGAUGAUGUUUUCACUACCAAUUGAUAAAAACAAUUAUCACUAUUUGAUAGUAGAGUUAAUGGUCAACCCAGAAAUGAGACCACCAUUCACUAGACACUGGCUGCUAGAUAGUAAAACUUCUUCAAAUAUUCCAUGUUCAAAUAUUAUUGAGAUUGGAGAUUUGACUACUUCACUGCAAAUAAAUUCCAUUUUUAAGAUUUGAUUGGCUUAAAGUGAAAUACAGAUCAGUUAAUAUUAUAACAUUUGAAUUGUUCGUAUGCACAAAUUGUCUUUAACUCAAUCUUAGAUUUCAAGGCAACACAUAUAAACUGCCGCUAUAAUAAUCCACCCAAUCCAAUUACACAAAGCAAAAAAGUAAAGAGACCUAAAGAGAGAAGAGGAGACUGUUUUGUUCACAAAGAUCAAACUAUUUGUUUUAAAAACUGCCUUUUGGGAGACUGUGCCACAAACUCUUUUAGUUUAAUUGUGAUUAUUCAAACAACGCACAAACAAGGAGAGAACAUAACUUACUGCCACAAAACCGCUUGUGUUUCAUCACUGAAAUGCGUCAAACCCAUCCCUCACAUUAGACAUGCUUGCAUGACCUUGUCUCUAGCAUUGUUUGCCUCGUUCAUGAGAAGUUCACUUCAAGCCUUAAUUUGUACAGAUGCAUCUUGUCUUAUACGCCGCACAAAAAAUCAUAGCCUGGUAUGGAAUAACUUCCACAAAACUAAUGAAUAACGUGUUGGUUGUGCUUACCCUCACGAGUGAAUGUUCUAGUAUGGCUUUGUUCCAAUAUUGCAUGUACUUGAUAGCGAACAUCCCAAAGUCAUAUCUACACCACCAAUUGCAUUUCAUUAGUCAAAUACAUACAUCAAGUGGAAAUACAACUAUAGUACUACCACAUAGGUCAUGAUAUGAAAAUUAUCACUAGGAAACUACUCUACCUAUUUCGUUGUUGCACAAUCUGAGGUUGCACAUGCAUGAAUUUGGACACCUCCAAUUGCUUGUGCAUGCCAUGUGCAUGGAAGGCUUUAUCAAUCGCCUCAAACAAUCUUCUUGUUACGACACUUAUGUCGUUACCCUUUUGUUAAAGCAAACAAGAUAAUAUUUCCACUUGUGCUGCUGGAAUGUUGAUAAUGUGGAUGUGCCAAUGGUUGUUGUCACAAACUGGGAAGAAAAAUUGCAUGAGGAUUGAGGAAAUUUCCAUUAAUAGGUUAGUCGGGAAAAAUCAGAUUUUUUAUUUAUUUAUAAAUGAAACGGAUCUUUGGCUAUGAAACGGAUAUUUGGCCAUGAAACGGAUAAUGGUUGUUUGAGUCAAUUGUUUUAUAAGAAACUUCCACUUUUAGUAAAUUAUUCUCAAUGUUUGUUGUUUGAACAUAUGCAAGCAACAUUCAUGGAACAUGAACAUGACAUAAUAAAUCACAUUAUUUUUAUGAAGAAUACAAUAAUUGGAGAUUUGUCGUAAAAUCACCAAGGUGAACAAACGAGCUUAUAACAUAUACAUGAAGAAGAUCAUCUUUUAAUUUGUAGUUUGGAUAGGUCCUGAAGAUAAGAGUUCCCCAACCUGGUACAGUAAUCCUAGUGGACACUUUUGAAACAACAAUUAUCAAUGUAUGAUAAAAACCAUUAAUUUUAAUUGUUGCAUUUUGACUAAUGGCUUUGCAGUUCUUCAAUAUAUUACUUUAAUUUUGAUAAGGGAGAUUUCAUUGACAUAGUCACUGGCUGUACUCACAUGUAGCAAGGAUAAAGGAACAGUUGCAAAAGGAAAAAGAAUUGAUGACAUCUUUGGAAGCUGGAAUUAUUAUGUCUCGGAGUCCAUUACCUAUCUUAGCUACUAGUGACUUCCAAAGUUGGCCUAUGUCCACAUUUAACAAGUAUAUGAGCCCUUGGUCCUACACCAGAAUUUAACAUUUAAAUGUGCUAAAGGUGAAGGCAAAGCUUGGGGAAGUUGCUUUUAUGGAGGCAAAUGUACUUAAUAUCAAGCAAAAGGUUGAUGAUUUGAGUGCUCAACUUAAGGAUAGAAUGUGAAGUAAACUAUGGUCCUAUGCACGAUUCAUGAAGUGAGCCCCAAAGAUCACAAAAUAAAACAAAACUGUAAGUCCUUAUUUACUCUAAUUCCUAGUUUUGUUACAAGUGACUUAGGUAUGAGAUAUAUAAUUAGUAUUUAGUGUCUACUAACUUUAAUGUGUGUGGCAAGCCUAUUUAAGCUUGUUUGGUAUAGCUAUAACUUCUGGUAAAGUAUUUUUCGACAAAUUUUUGAACAAAAGAGAGGUUGCUAUUUAGCAUAUAACAUAAAUUUUAAGUUUGAAAUAUUCUAAUUGAUGCUAUUAAGCAAAAGUAUCCAACUAACAAAUUUACUAAAGGAGUUUUUACCAAAUAAUGCCAUCUUUAACUUUAAGUGGUUUUGCUAUAAGUAGAGAGACUGUAAAACUCUUAUUAACAAUAUUGUGAAAAGGUAAUAUGAAGUCAAACAAUUGCAUUUCAACAAAAUAUUCAUGUUCGGAAAUAGAUCAUAUGUACAGAGUGACUUUAUUUUGAUGAAACGAUUAUGAAGGAAACGGUUUUGUACAUAGGUUGAUGAUGAAACGAAAUCUUUUGCUCUUAUUUUUUCCUUAUCUGAUUAUAGGAAGGAUAAACAGAAGAUUGUUGAAACUACAUCUACUUCACAUCUUCAUGAAAAGUCAACGCAGAAUAAGGUAUAUCUUGAAGUGCAUCCAAAUCAUUAAUUUCCAAUGUUGAGACAUCCAUGAAAUUUGGACAUCAUAAACCAUCGUUCUAUAGGCUAAUAAAAAAUGGUUGAAAUUUAUAGUAUAUUGAAUCUAAAUUACAACUUUAAUCCACAUUUCUUAAACAUAAAGUGAUAUCAAUGACAAUCUAACAAUGUAGACAUAAAUGGGUGCAAGAAACCUUCAUUUAAGGUAAACGUAUAUAACCUAAUCUUUACGAUACGAGGAUAACAUUGAAAUGUUUGAAGCUUAAACACAAACUAAGGUACAUACAUCCCACCCAACCUUGAUAUUCUUAGAAUAUAUAUAGAAAUUCAUGUAGAGAAUAAGCACAAUGGGUUAUCCAACAAAAUGAAGUAAUUCAAUGUUUUUUUUCAUAUAUUUCAAGUUGAAAAAUCUAUCCAAAGAUGGAGCCUACACAGGUAAUGGAGUGAUCAAGAAAUUCAAUAGGGAAACAAAAAUUGAAAGACUGUAUGCCAUGGAAAUUCAAAAUAAUGCUACAUGAAUAACAAUGUGAGUUGAUUUCCUAUGUUAAUGUAUAACAUACUUCAGUGAUUUAUGCUUACUGGGACAUCCAAGCACGUCAUAAAAGUUUUAAAGAACAAAAAAAAUGAGGCAUAGCAUAAACAUAGCCUAUCAAAAGAAAUAAUGUGUAUUUGCUAUCUUAAUCAUGACCAUAGAAUUGAAUGUUGUAACUGGUUCAAAGUACACAAAAUAUAACAAAAAACACACCUUCCUCUCUAUAGCCACCUUUAGUUUAUCCCAAAAUGCAUAUGCAAAACACACCCACAUAAAUAAAGAUUAAUUUAAUUUGUAUGCCAACUGAACUAUGAGCUAAAAAUAGACCUGCAACAAAGUUCAAUAAGCCCCUUAGAAAUCUCCAUUUUUUUUCAACUACUGAUAUUCACAUAGGCUUUCAAGUGAAAGAAAAAUUAUUAAUAGAAACUCAGUCCUUGAGGCAUGGCUAAAGUGAUAAAGGGUUGAGAUGGGUUUGUAGGAGGUUCCAAGAUCAAGUCCUAAUGGGGGGCAAAAAUAAAUAAAUAAAUUGAAAAGAAAAACUUUAGAUGCAAUUGUUGAAGCUCCAAAAGAAAAUAAAGGAAAAUAUAUUUUUAUAAUAAUAGGGGACUAAAAUUAGAGUUAGGUCCCAAGAGUCAAUUAGUAAAAUUUUAACCAUAACUAUAAAGCUCAGAAAAAGCAAUUGGAUCCAACAUACUUUUAGAACAGAAGAAACCUCCAUACAAUCUGUUGAAAGUGCUUAAAGCCUUUAAAACAAUGUCAUUGAUGCAUAUCAUUUUACAGGAAAAUGGGUAAAACUCUGCUUCUACAUGCAAUAAGUAUGAAAUUUUCUAUUACAUCUGAAAACAACCAAAUAUAAAGAACUAUGGUGUAUGAAUAGUCAAUGACUGGCUAGCUUUCAAUGAGCUAGAAACCAAACAAUUGAUUUUAUAGUGCUAAAAAUUUGCUGAAUUUGCUAAAUCGAAAAAACAAAGAACAAAAAUUCCAUCUAUGUGUGACAUUUUUGAGAUUUAAAAGCCUCAAGCACUAAGCAUCUUUUGAAAUCAGUGUUCCAUUAAGUCAACCAUUUUCCUAUUGAAUUGUGUUCAUUUGUGCAAAAUACCAAACAUAACAAAUGGGCAGACACUGGUUUUUUUAUUUUUUAUUUGGUAUUUUUAUCACUUUAUAAGGCUAUUAGGUAGGCUCCAAUAGACUACCCAAAUCAAAUAAUUAAUUUCCAACUAAAAUGGAUCUAAAAUCUCAUAAUAUCAAGUUAUCAACUUGAAAAAUAGAUCAUGUUUAGCCAAUAGAAAAAUUAUACAAAUGAACUUCAUGAGUGGAUGGCAUACCAUGUAAGUUAAUUCCUUGAAUCUCAAUUUUCCUUCCAUUCCCUUCAUCCAAAGAAUUUUGCCUCUUCAACUGUUGUGAUAAGACUGAAUGUCAGAACAAUCAACUUGCACAUUUCUAUUUGCAACAACUAAUCUAGCAUCCAAUAGAUAGAAAUCAACAUAAAAUCAUAUAAAACAGUUGCAAUGAUACCGCCCUAUCUUGUGAUGACUGGGAAGUUGAUUGUCUUGAUGAUUUCGAGUUUGCCUGAACUUGUGAAAAGUGAGUUGGAAACAAAAGUUAGUGCAUAUAUAAGCUUUCCAGAUUUGGACAAUAUACUUCAAACUAGAACAGUAAAUGGUAAGAGAAUUGCACAGAUGUAAUACCAUUGAAUUGUAUCACAGAAAAUAUCCAUAGAGAUUUUAAGUUUUCCACAAUAUUUUUAAAUAAAAAUCAAGAUCAAGUGGUAAUUUUGAAUAAUUUAAAUAUAUUUAUAUCUCAAUUUCCAAAAAAAAAAAAAAAAUCAACCACAACAUAGAAGUCCAAUCCAUGAUAUUGUUAAGUAUUUUUUUUUUUUUUUAUCACCACUUGAAACACAAUUGAUGCAGAAACUAGCCUUAAAAUACAAACCUAAUGCAGAUCACUUUGUUAUAGUACUUUUUUUCUUUGUUGGAAAGUUGGAGAGACCCAUGAUUCUUGGUGACCAAGUAUAUACAUGGCUAAGAAUAAGUUUAGAAACUAUUCAAGCAUAUGUGUGAUUACUACUCAAAAAGUGCUCUUUUAUAGCUUGAAAUUAACUAUUUUAAACACUUUUGAGUAGUAGUUAAUACUUUUUAACUCAAUUGGCACAUUAAGGAACCUAGCAAGGGUUACUAAUCAGUUUUUGGCUAGUUUUGGUGUUUUUGGUAGCUUUUUGAUCAUUGAAACAAACAAAGAAUGAGGGAGAAUUUUGUGCAAUCCAUGGCAAUGCAAGUUGAAGCUCAAAUACAUGAAGAAUCCGAGUUUUGGAGCACUUCAUAGCCCUUUUCCAAGCUUGGCAAUAGGUUGCCAAGCCAAUCAGAGAUGCAUGGAAGAAAACUAGAGGAAAAAAUCUAACAUGUAGCAAUUUCGCAUGUCUAUGCGAAAAUUUCGCAAAGCAUGCAAAAUCAAGAGGAGGAGCAGUUGCAGGACUGAGUGAAGGACAAUUUUGCAGACCUUGCAAAACCACAAGAUGCAACAAAAAUGAAUUUCGCACACCAUGUGAAAUUUAGCAUGGUCUGCGAAAUCUUCCUGUGCACCGACUCCGUUAGAUUUUUAUCUCCAGAUUUUUUAUGUAAAUUACUAUUUUCUCCUUGUAAUCAACCAAUGAUAGGAUUUCUUAGUUAGGAACUAUAAAGGGGGGUUGGAAAGACCUCUCUAUGUAUAAUAUAUUUUUGUAUAAUCUUUUGAAGGAUAGACGACACUUGUAAUUCCCGUAGGAAGAAAUAUACAGAUCCAUUGCUCUACAUUUCCUUCUCAUUUUGUUUUCAUUUUUCUUUCUAGCCAAACAACCUCUAAGGAUGAUUUCUCAGGGGAUGAGUGGCUAAGUUUUACGUUUCUUGGAGUGAUGGAAACUAAGUGUAGGACCCGGAUGCAAAUGUGAGAGUUUUCAUUGCUUUAAAUGAAGGUAGUUGUUAACCAUUAAUGGUUUUUAUUUCAAGGUUUAGCUUUAAAUUCCUUAGAAUCACCUUGAAUGGCCAAUACUUGGUAAGCUUUUCGGAUUCUAUGGAUGCUUAUUGCUAGAUCCAUGGAUGUCCAUUAGUUAUCAAGUACGAGCCAUUGGAAGGUGGUUCAAGGUGAGAAUCACCUUGAAUGGUCAAUACUUGGUAAGCUUUCUAGAUUCUACGGAUGCUUAUUGCUAGAUCCAUGGAUGUUCAUUAGUUAUCAAGUACGAGCCAUUGGAGGGUGGUUCAAGGUGAGGGUCUUUAGUGUUUGAAGCCAUUAAUGGAAAACAACUACCAUUUUUCAUGAACCAUUUGGAUCAAAUCUUAAUUGCUAAAUACAAAACCGGUUCAGGAGAUAACCAUCCUUUAUGUUAUUGUCCUCAAUGCGAGGAGAAGAUUCGGAAUCUCCCCCUUUGCCUAAGGAACCUGAUCGUAGUGACUUAAAGCUCCAAGAGACAUUCUCUUUGUAGUUAACUUCAAUUGUUAUUUUUGCUUAACUUAAAAUCAACUUUUUCAACCACAAUUCCAUUUUCUUUAAAAGCUAAUUUUCAUAAGGAAAAACACCAUUUCAUUACCUUCACUAAAUUCACUUGUACGAAGAAAACCCAUCCCUGUGGACGAUUCUAGAGCCACUAUACUAUAGUAGCCAUGCUACCCUAGUGUAAGGUGAUUUAGGUUUUAUAAAUUUUGUUGAUAACACCCGUCUGGCGCAAUAAUCAAAUGACACCUUUGCUGGGGAAGAAUCAAAUGGCACAGCUACCGAGGAUGGUGCCAAAGUACAUUGACAUUACUUUUGAUGAACAUUUGUGAUCUUCAUCACAAGUUUGGUGAUUUUUCUUUUACUAAGUUUUUUUCUUUGUCUCUAUUUUAGCUUAUCUUUUAUUUAGUUUUUAGCUAACCUUAACCGCUUCCUAGAAUUGUAUUUCUUUUGUUUUCUUUGUUUUUGUUUCAAUGAUCUCUAGUUGUGCAUGCCCUAUUGGAUAAGAGAUAUUGAAGGAAGACUUGUGAAGAUUGAAACUCCUCAAGAAACUAAGUUUGAAGUGUGCUUGAACAUCAUGGAUGUUCCACCUGAAGACCAGAAUAACCAACAUGGUCAAGAGGAUAAUUUCAAUGCAUACUGAUCCAUGAGGAACCCCAUGCAUCCACCUCGUAUGAGUGCACCUUUAUGCAUAGUGCCUUUCACUGAACAUCUAGUAAUCCGACCUCACAUUGUGCCACUCCUACCUACUUUCCAUGGGAUGGAAAGUGAGAAUCCCUACUCGCAUAUUAAGGAAUUCAAGGAGGUUUGUAAUACAUUCCAAGAAGGAGGAGCUUCAAUUGACUUGAUGAGGCUCAAGCUAUUUUCUUUCACCUUGAAGGAUAAGGCCAAUAUUUGGCUCAAUUCUCUAAGGCCAAGGAGUAUCCGAACUUGGCCUGAUUUGCAAGCCGAGUUUCUCAAGAAGUUCUUCCCUACUCAUAGGACCAAUGGUUUGAAAAGGCAAAUUUCGAACUUCUCAGCUAAAGAGAAUGAGAAAUUUUAUGAGUGUUGGGAGAGGUACAUGGAAGCUAUUAAUGCUUGUCCUCACCAUGGCUUUGACACAUGGCUCUUAGUGAGCUAUUUUUACAAUGGUAUGUCUUUUUCAAUGAAGCAACUCCUAGAAACUAUAUAUGGAAGAGACUUCAUGAGUAAGAAUCCGGAGGAAGCCAUGAAAUUUUUGAGUUAUGUGGUUGAAGUUUCAAGAGGAUGGGAUGAACCAAAUGCUAGAGAGGUGGAAAGAAUGAAGUCUCAACCUAAUGCUAAGGGUGGGAUGUAUGUUUUGAAUGAAGACAUUGACAUGAAGGCAAAGGUUGCAGCUAUGGCAAGGAGAUUGGAAGAGUUAGAAAUGAAAAAGGUACAAGAAGUGCAAGCUAUUUCUGAGACAUCAGUGCAAGCUAUGCCUUGUUCCAUUUGUCAAUCUUAUGAGCACUUGGUGGAGGAGUGUCCUACCAUUCCAGUAGUGAGAGAGAUGUUUGGUGAUCAAGCAAAUGUUAUUGGUCAAUUCAAGCCCAAUAAAAAUGCUUCAUAUGGCAACACCUACAAUUCAAAUUGGAGGAACCAUCCAAAUUUCUCUUAGAAACCAAAGCCACCUCAGUACGUGAUUACUACCGAAAAGUGCUAUUUUGUAGACCUAAUUAUAAGGGUUUUAAGCACCUUUGAGUAGUAAUCAUAUUCAUUUAACCCAAUUAAUUCAUUAAGCUCCUUAGUAAUUAGUUCUAACCAUUUUUAGUGGCAAGUUUACAUGUUUUUCAUCAACUUAUGAACCAAUUCAAGCAUGCCAAUUGAUGGAGGAGCUACUUGGGCGAGUUAAGCAAGGAUUUUGGACGUUUACAGGCUUGAAUUUCAAGUGGAAACACGAGCACAAGCAAUGGGAACACCAUUUUGCAAGGGGAGGCAAUUCACCUUGCCAAAUGAACAAUUUCGCAAGGUGAAUUUCACCUUACCAAAAUUUCGCAAGGGGAUUUUCCUCAUGGUGCGAAAUUUGGCCAUUUCGCACCAUGAAGAAAACACCUUGCGAAAUUUCGCAAGGUGGAUUUAGGCACCUUGCGAAAUGACAAAUUUGAGACGUUGUUGAUGAUAUUCCACUGCCGGUUCUCCAAGAUAUUUUGCUUGACUUUUAGCUUUGUAAAUACCUAUUUUAUCCUUGUAAUCAACCAAUGAAAAGGUUGCUUUUGUAAUAGCUCUUGUAAUUUAGCUUUUUAUUGUCUUUAAAUAGAGGUGAAGAGCCUCAGACACGAUCAUCUUGUAACCUGUAACUUUAUAAGUUGUAAGAGCACUUUUGUUCAUACGCUUCUUUUAUCUUUUCUUUCUCAUUUUCUUAGUAGCCAAACAUCCUUGGAGGAUGAAAUCCCCAAGGAUGAGAGGCUAAAACCUUUUAUUUUCUUGAAGUAAUGGAUGCCAUGUGAAGCUCCCGUGUCAGGAUGGAGAUUUCCAAGCCAUAAAUGUAAGUAGCUGAGCGUCAUAAAUGUUUUCAUUCAAAGUAAAGCUUUUAAUCCCUUUGACUUGCUUUGAAUGACCAAUACUUGGUAACCUUUUGGUCUCAGUGGAUUCUUAUUGUUAGAUCCACUGACGUUCAUUAGUUAUCUUCUACGAGCCAUUGUAUUGCAAGUCAAGGAGAUGACCUAUACCAAUAAAAGAGCAUUUAUGAGGUUCAACUACCCUUUUUGUAAGUUUUCAAGGACUAAAACUCAGUUGUUAAACUCAUACCGGUUCGGGAAGUAAGCAUCACCUUAGUUGCUUCCCCAACUCGAGGUGAAGAGUCCCAAAAUCUCAAUUUUUACACAGUGAGUUAAGCAUGGCUAUCCAAAGCUUUGAGAAACUUCUUUUUCCAUCUUUUAACCUAUUUUCAUGUUAGUUUAGUUUACAACGCCUUCAUCUUUUUAUGUUUUCAUUUUAACCUAAUUUUUAUUAAGAAAAGUUCACUCCAUCCUCCGAACUUCACUAGUUAAAGUAAAAACCCUUCCCAGUGUUCGAUCCUAGAGCCACUAUGCUAUAGUAGCUUUGCUACUUUAGUGUAAGGACCUUAGGUAUAAUUUUUGUUGAUACCCUUACAUGCCAAGCUACCAAGAGGCGGGUUAUCAGUACGCACAACCUGCUCAAGCACCUCAGCAAGACUCGAAUCUUGAACAAGCUAUUGUGAACCUUAGCAAGGUUGUGGGAGACUUUGUGGGAGAUCAGAAGUCCAUCAAUGCUUAACUGAAUCAAAAAAUUGAUAGUGUGGAGAGUACAUUGAACAAAAAGAUGGAUGAGAUGCAAAAUGAUCUGUCUUAGAAGAUAGACAAUGUCCAAUACGCAAUCUCAAGGCUUACCAACCUCAACACAGUGCAAGAGAAAUGAAAGUUUCCUUCUCGACCUCAUCAAAAUCCUAAGGGUAUCCAUGAAGUGGAGGCUCAAGAGGGAGAAUAUUCAAAGGUGAGGGAAGUCAAAACAGUUAUCACCUUGAGGAGUGGUAAAGAGGUUGAUCAGCCCACAUCCAAGCCAAAGCAUGAUGAAGAGAGUGUAGCAGAAAAAGAAAAGAGUGAGGAAAUUAAAGAAAAGAGAAAAGAGAAAAGUACAAAGAAAGAUGACCAUGAUUCUAGUGUGGAUGAAGAACCCGAGAGGAUAGUCAUCAAGGAAGAUAUGAUGAAGAAACACAUGCCUCCACCUUUUUCCCAAGCUUUGCAUGGAAAAAAGGGAACCAAUAAUGCAUAAAAAAUGUUUGAAAUGUUGAGGCAAGUGAAGGUCAAUAUCCCUUUGCUAGACAUGAUUAAACAAGUGCCGACAUAUACAAAAUUCUUGAAGGACUUGUACACUGUAAAAAGAGGGUUGAAUGUGAACAAUAAAGCCUUCUUGACUGAGCAAGUGAGUGCCAUCAUAUAGUGCAAGUCUCCAGUGAAGUACAAAGAUCCGGGUUGCCCUACCAUCUCAGUAAGUAUUGGAGGGACUUGUGUGGAGAAAACUUUGUUGGACUUGAGAGCAAGUGUGAAUUUUCUACCCUACUCUGUUUACACGCAGUUAGGACUUGGAGAGUUAAAGCCAACAUCCAUCACUCUAUUUCUGGCAGAUAGAUUAGUGAAGAUUCCAAGAGGGAUGAUCAAAGCUGUCUUGGUUCAAGUUGACAAAUUCUACUAUCCAGUGGAUUUUGUUGUUCUUGAUACGAAUCCGGUUGUCAAAGGAACUAAUUAUGUUCCUAUCACACUUGGAAGACCAUUCCUAGCUACAUCAAAUGCAAUCAUCAAUUGUAGGAAUGGAGUCAUGCAACUCAUGUUUGGUAGCAUGACAGUAGAGCUCAACAUCUUCCAUUUGUGCAAGAAGCAUAUCCAUUCGGAAGAAGAAGAAGGUCCAAAGGAAGUGUGCAUGAUUGACACUUUAGUGGAGGAGCAUUGUGAUAAGAGAAUGCAGGAGGAUUUGAUUGAGAGUCUUGGGGAUCUUGAUGAAGGGUUACCUGAACCCUCAGAUUUGCUUGCUACCCUGUCUCUUUGGAGGAGGAUAGAAGAAAUUAUACCCUUAUUCAAUGAGGAGGAGACACAAAAAGCUGCUAAGGAGGAGCCCCCAAAGCUUAUUCUUAAGCCACUACCCAUAAAGUUGAAGUAUGCAUACUUGGAAUAAGACAAGUAGUGCCCUAUUGUUAUAUCUUUAGCUUUUACCAUUCAUCAGGAGGAUUGUCUACUUGAAGUCCUUAGAAGAUGUAAGAAGGCAAUAGGGUGGCAAAUUUCUAAUUUGAAAGGGAUCAACCCUUUAGUCUGCACCCAUCAUAUUUACAUGGAGGAUGAAACUAAGCCAGUUCGUCAACCUCAGAGAAGGUUGAACCCUCACAUGCAAGAGGUGGUGUGAGCUGAAGUUCUUAAGCUGCUUCAGGCUGGUAUUAUCUACCACAUAUCAGAUAGCCUAUAGGUGAGUCCUACUCGAGUUGUGCCAAAGAAGUCUGAGAUCAUGGUGGUGCAAAAUGAUAAGGGGGAAGAUGUCUCUACAUGCCUCACUACAGGUUGGAGGGUGUGUAUCGAUUAUAAGAGGUUGAAUGCAGUGACAAGGAAGGACCAUUUCCCAUUGCCCUUUAUUGAUCAGGUGCUUGAGAGGGUCUCUGGGCAUCAUUUUUAUUGUUUCUUGGAUGGCUACUUCGGAUACUUUCAAAUAGAAAUUGAUGUUGAAGACCAGAAGAAGACCACUUUCACGUGCCCAUUUGGCACCUAUAUAUGCAUAUAGGAGAAUGUCUUUCGGCUUAUGCAAUGCACCCGCAACUUUCCAAAGAUGCAUGUUAAGCAUUUUCAGUGAUAUGGUGGAGCGUAUUAUGGAAGUCUUUAUGGAUGAUAUCACCAUAUAUGGAAGUGCAUUUGAUGAAUGCUUGGUCAACUUAGAAGCUGUUCUGAACCGAUGCAUUGAGAAAGACUUAGUGCUUAACUGGGAGAAGUGCCAUUUCAUGGUACAACAAGGGAUUGUCCUUGGGCACAUCAUCUCCAAGCAAGGCAUUGAAGUUGACAAAGCAAAGGUUGAACUCAUUGUCAAGUUGCCAUCCCCAACAAAUGUCAAAGGAAUAAGACAAUUCCUUGGCCAUGUCGGGUUCUAUAGGAGGUUUAUCAAGGAUUUCUCUAAGCUUGCAAGGCCUCUUUGUGAACUAUUGGUGAAUGAUGCUAAAUUCAUAUGGGAUGAUAGAUGCCAAAGGAGUUUUGAAGAAUUGAAGCUAUUUCUGACAACCGCACCAAUAGUGAGGGCUCCCAACUGGCAACUACCCUUUGAGGUAAUGUGUGAUGCCAAUGACUUUGCCAUAGGAGCUGUUCUUGGGCAAAGAGAAGAUGGAAAACCCUAUGUGAUCUAUUACGCGAGCAAGACAUUGAAUAAGGUGUAAAGAAACUACACAACCAUCGAGAAAGAAUUAUUAGCUGUAGUUUUUGGCUUGGAUAAGUUUUGUGCUUACUUGGUGGGGUCCUUCAUUGUGGUUUUCACUGAUCACUCUGCUUUGAAGUAUCUGUUGACUAAGCAAGAUGCUAGAGCAAGGUUGAUUAGAUGGAUCCUCUUGCUUCAAGAGUUCAAUCUCCAGAUCAAAGACAAGAAAAGAGUGGAGAAUGUGGUAGCAAACCACCUUUCAAGGCUAGCUAUCGCACAUAAUUUCCAUGGUUUGCCCAUCAAUGAUGAUUUUCCAGAAGAGUCUCUCAUGUUGGUGAAAGUUGCUCCUUGGUAUGCUCAUAUUGCUAACUAUCUAGUCAUAGGAAAAAUUCCAAGUGAGUGGAAAACACAUGAUAAGAAGCACUUCUUUGCAAAAAUUCAUGCCUACUAUUGGGAAGAGCCAUUUCUAUUCAAGUAUUGUGCGAAUAAGAUAAUAAAGAAGUGUGUUCUUGAAGAAGAGCAACAGUGGAUCCUCAGUCAUUGCCAUGAAAAUGCAUGUGGAGGCCACUUUGCUUCUCAGAAGACAACCAUAAGGGUGUUGCAAUCGGGUUUUUGUUGGCCAUCACUUUUCAAAGAUGCCCACACCAUGUGCAAGAGUUAUGAUCGAUGCCAGAGGGUUAGGAAGUUGACAUGCAGGAACAUGAUGCCUUUGAACUGUGGACCCGCAUUUUUCACGUGCGUCCCCACUCGAUCGGCGAGACUCGCUUUUUAUUUAUUUGUGAAAAUUUGAUUUUUUGAAAAAAAGUUGGAGUCGCCACUUAUUUUAUUUUUAUUUUUAUUUUUGAAGGGAAAAUAAAACAAGAAAUAAAACCCUAAAAAAAAUGACUCCAUAAUUUUUGGAAAAGCGUGUCUUUGAAAACCCAAGUCUUGGUCCGGGGAUCCGGUUACUUAUUGGGAAGGUACCUCUAGGAGGUAGCACCCCUCUAAGCCCUAAAGAGGUCUCUACUAAUUAAGUUAAGGGGAAUAUGGCAAUUAAUCGGUUAAUUAUGGAUACCUAAGUAGGCUAGGUGAUUUCAAAAGAUUUGCAUGCUAAACAAGAUCAAAUCACAAAAAACGGAGAGUUAGGGUGCGUACCUGAACCGCUCUUCAAGCGCUAUCAUAAAACAUCAGAGUUAGUAUAGAAGUAUAACACACAACAUGUAUUUAAUCAUAGUGAAUCAAGCAUACAUCUAAACACCUAAGGAUUAUCAAACAUAUGCAUACUUCACAGUGACAUGAUUGUUUACAAAAUUUAGAAAGUAGGUGAUAGGGGGGUGUACCUGGAUAGCAUAGAUAACUUACAAUGCGCUUCCAUAAGACAUGAGGGAUUAGAUAAUAAUAAAAUAAAGAAACCCUAGCAUGCUUGUUAUCUAAUUAGCAUAACAAAAAUUAUCAAAGUAUAUGAAAACAUUAAUUAUCACACACAUCUUGUAUACAAUUCCUAAAAAAGAUAGACAUAAUUUCAACAAGUGACAAAAAUGGCAACAAAAAUAAUUUUUGAAAAGAUUUUCUUAUGUAGGGGUUUCACCAAUUCCCCAAUUGAUAUACACGAAUUUAGCCCAGAAUCAUCCCAUUAUUUGGGACCACAAGCUUUGAUUCGUGUUUUUGUUCAAAACCAAAAUUUUUGUUGAAAACCGAGAAGGAUGCAAACCGAACAAGAUAUGGUUGCAUAUUAUUUUUAAAUAAUAAUAAAAAAAGAGAUUUUGAUCCUGAGGACUCUAAAUGAGUUUUUGAAAUAGAUUUUUAAAAUGAUUUUUUUGAGAAAAGUAUUUUAUUUUAAAAUAAAAGGAAUUAAUUUGGAAAAAAUAAAAUAUAAGAAAUAAAAUACCCAACAAAACAAAAAUGAAACCUCAAAGUAAAAUUUUUUUAGUAAUUAACAAAAAUGAUAAUGGUGAUGGUAGAGGCCAAUCUUCAUGAUUUUCCAAUGGCCUUUGAACAAAAAGGAAACUAUCAAAAUAAUAAAUUAUUAAUAUUUAGAUCAAAUAAGCUAAUGAAAUAUCCAUCAAGAAUUAGCAACAAGGAUUCAAGAAGCGCAUAAAUUGAGAAUAACAAUCCAUAAUUAACAUAAGAUUAACUAAACACAUAAAUGCCUCUAGACUAAAAAAAUAAAUUAAAUCAAGGUUAAACUUUAUCUAACGGGAUUAAUUAAACUAAUGUAUUCAAAUCACAAACACAUACAAGUGAAGAACAAAUUAAAACUAAAUUAAAUUGUAAUUAAAAACAUGAACUUUAUUUAAUAAGAUUAAUUAAACUACUAAAUUACAAUUACAAACACAUCCAAAUUAAAAAUAAAUAAAAGCUAAACUAAAUCGGAAUUUCAAAUAUGAACUUUAUCUAACAAGAUUAUUUAAACUAAUGAAUUAAAAUCACAAAUAUACUUAAACUAAAAGAUAGGUUAAAACUGAACUAAUUUAGAAUUAAAAAAAUAUAAACUUUAUCUAACAUGAUUAUUUAAACUAAUAAAUUAAAAUCACAUACAUAUUUAAACUAACAAAUAAAUUAAAAAUAAACUAUUUUGGGAUUAAAAACAUGAACUUUAUCUAACAUAAUUAUUUAAACUUAAGAAUUAAGAUCAACUAAUGCAUUUAAACUAAAAACGAAUUGAAAUCAAACUAAUUGAGAUUAAAAACACAAACUUUAUUUAACGUGAUUAUUUAAAGUAAAGAAUUAAAAUCAACAAAAUACAUUUAAACUAAAAACAAAUUAAAAUCAAAUUAAUUGGGAUUAAAAAUACAAAAUUUAUUCGAUAUGAUUAUUUAAACUAAAGAAUUAAGAUCAACAAAAUACAUUUAAACUAAAAAACGAAUUGAAAUCAAAUUAAUUGGGAUUAAAAAUACAAACUUUAUUUAACGUGAUUAUUUAAAACAAAGAAUUAAGAUCAACUAAUGCAUUUAAAUUAAAAAUGAAUUGAAAUCAAACUAAUUGGGAUUAAAAAUACAAACUUUAUUCAAUACAAUUAUUUAAACUUAAGAAUUAAAAUCAACUAAUGCAUUUAGAUUAAAAAUGAAUUGAAAUCAAACUAAUUGGGAUUAAAAAUACAAACUUUAUUCAAUACAAUUAUUUAAACUUAAGAAUUAAAAUCAACAAAAUACAUUUAAACUAAAAAACAAGUUAAAAUCAAACUAAUUGGGAUUAAAAAUACAAACUUUAUUCGAUAUGAUUAUUUAAACUUCAGAAUUAAGAUCAAUAAAAUGUAUUUAAACUAAAAACGAAUUGGAAUCAAACUAAUUGAGAUUAAAAACAUAAACUUUAUUUAACGUGAUUAUUUAAAGUCAAGAAUUAAGAUCAACAAAAUACAUUUAAACUAAAAAACAAAUUAAAAUCAAACUAAUUGGGAUUAAAAAUACAAACUUUAUUCGAUAUGAUUAUUUAAACUAAAGAAUUAAGAUCAACAAAAUACAUUUAAACUAAAAAACGAAUUGAAAUCAAAUUAAUUGGGAUUAAAAAUACAAACUUUAUUUAACGUGAUUAUUUAAAACAAAGAAUUAAAAUCAUUAACAAACUUAAACUAAAAGAUAGAUUAGAAUUAAACUAAUUGGGGAUUUAAAAAGAAAAAAAUAUAAACUUUAACACAAAGAAUUAAUCAAAAACUAAAAUUUCCAAAAAAAAAAGCUAGGCUAAAUAAAAGUACUAUAUAGAAAACUAACCUUUGAAGUGAAAGAGAAAAUCCUCUCUUGAUGAUUAAAUGACAGCCCGAUCUCCGUUCGAAGUCCCUUGCUUUUUUCCAAAAUUCCGUGUGCUCUGCCCCCCAAGAAAAAUCCCUCCUUCUUUUCCUUUUCUCACCUAUAUAUAUCACCCCUCAAGACCUAAAUUUGUUUCCGAAAAGGAAAAUUCUCCUCCUUCCUUUCUUCUUCUCUUCUUUUUUUAAAUCCUCCAAUCAAAAGCAAUCUUCCCAAUUUCAAAUCCCCCUCCAAAACCUUCCAAGGAGAGUCCCAUCUUCCUUAAACUCCAAUGGUAAGUUUCCUUGCAAAAACAUGAAAUUUUUGAAGUUAAAUAAUUGCAUGUAUAGAUAAAUAAGUAAAUAAAUUAAAAAAUGGUAAAAAUAAUAAAUAAAUAAAUAAGUUAAGGAAAAUAAUAUAAAGAGGAAGAUAACCAAUAAAAAGUGAAUGAUAAUCAUAAAAUUAAAAUUAAAAACAAAAUAAAUAAAUAAAUAAAUAAAAUAAAAUAAAAUAAAAUAAAAGUCUUCGUAGGCCUAGUGUGCCUAAACGGGCCUAAGGUGAGACUAAGUGGGCCUAGGGUAGUGCCUAAUGGGCCAAGUGUAUCUAAAAGCUAUCCUAAAAAAACAAGAAAAGCCUAAGUCUAAGUUAGGGCUGCCAAGGGUCACAAUAAGGGAUCAAAUAAUCCCUCAACCAAAAUCUCCGAGGUGACUCAGAAAAAGGUAAGUGGUAUGAGUAGCCAUGGGCCACCAAGGAACUAUUGUGGAGCAUUGAAAAUGAAUUUUAAAGACAUGUGCUAAAGGGACAAAAUUGAGGGUCUACAUGAACCCUAUUUUGAUAGUUGAUUUUUUUUAUGUUUGGGGCAUUGACUUCAUGGGACCAUUCGCUAUGUCUUUUGGCUACUCUUACAUCUUGGUGGGAGUAGAUUAUGUUUCUAAGUGGGUUGAGGUAGUCCUAUGCAAGCACAAUGACCAUAUAGUGGUUAUCAAAUUUCUUAAGGAGAACAUCUUCUCAAGAUUUGGGGUGCCCAAAGCCAUAAUUAGUGAUGGGGGUACUCAUUUUUGCAACAAGCCUUUUGAAACUCUCUUAUCCAAGUAUGAGGUGAAGCAUAAGGUAGCUACACCUUACCACCCUCAAGCUAGUGGGCAAGUUGAGUUAGCAAACUGGGAGAUUAAAAACAUAUUGAUGAAGGAGGUGAACACGAACAAAAAAGAUUGGUCUGUCAAGCUCCUUGAUUCACUAUGGGCAUAUAGAACAACUUACAAGACCAUUCUUGGGAUGUCUCCUUAUCGCCUAGUCUAUGAAAAAACAUGCCAUCUUCCUGUGGAAUUGGAAUACAAGGCUUAGUGGGCAAUCAAACAGCUCAACAUGGAUUUGAGCAGCGUUGGGUUGAAGAGUUUCUUAAACCUCAAUGAGUUGGAGGAACUGAGAAAUGAUGCCUACAUCAAUUCAAAAAUUCUAAAAGAGAGAUUAAAGAAGUGGCAUGAUCAGUUGGUUUUCCGCAAAGAUUUUCAAAAGGGACAAAGAGUCUUGCUCUAUGACUCUAAGCUCCACAUCUUUUUAGGCAAGCUGAAAUCAAGGUGGAUAGGUCCUUUUACCAUUCACCAAGUGCAUUCAAAUGGAGUAGUGGAACUACUCAACUCCAACAACACCAGUAACUUCAAAGUGAAUAGCCACCGUCUCAAGCCUUUUGUGGAGCCUUUUUUUCGUGACAAGGAGAAAUUCAUCCUCCUUGAUCCACAUCAAGCUUGACAAGACCAGUUUUUGGAUGGACUUAGUCUUUCUAAAGACUAUCAAGUCCAUACCUUUUUGUUUUAUUUUUGAUUUGAGAGUUUUCUUGUAUUGUAACUUGUUUUGAUUUUGAUUUCUCGCUUUAAUUUCAUUUUGGUUUGAUUUAACUUAGGUUUUUGAUGAUCAAUUUCAGGGGGGACUUCAAAGCAGUUGGACAUGUCCUUAAAGAUUCUUGGCAGAGGAAAAACCAUGAAGAAAAAAAUUCACCAAGGCAUUUCGCACACCCUUGCGAAAAUUUCGCAGGGUAUGCGAAACCCUUCUCAAAUAGUAAGUGUCACCCCGUGCCUUUAUUAUGGUGUCACCCUGUGCCUCUGUUCUGGUUCCACCCUCUGUUCACACGUCUCCUCUCACAUCUCAUUCCUCCGUUCUUUUCCCAUUCGACACCCCCCUUCGAGCACGGACCUGAGGGGCCCUUGUUGCCCCUUCGUAGAGUCGCACUCCGAGGCAGAGAGCCUCCUAUGCUCGGGUGUCUCGUGAUUUUCCACCUCAGGAGGCCACCACAGAGGCCCCGCAAAUUCCCCUUUCUGAAGGUGGAGCGCCUACUAGUCCAUUCUCUUUUGCUCCUCAACACAAGUAUGAGACUAGGAGACCAGCUACUACACAAGGGGCGACUGCUUCACACCCUCAGAGUUCAGUGCGGCGCCCUCCUGCCAAGAGGGCCAGGAUUUCAAGCCCAGGCGAGUCAUCCAGAGCUUCACAGCCUGAGUCUCCUGUUGCUACACAUGCUCGAGCUCCUGCAUAUUAUGAGUUUCCUUCCGACAUGUCACCGGGGUCUAAUAUUAGAUGCCCGAUGCUCACAGCACUGCCCAUUGAGGGCAACUUAGAUUGCAGAUCGAGGCCUUUCCACUUGGAGUCCUAUUUUGAUCAGGAGGUUUUCCGAUAGAAGCCUGAGCUCCGAGACUCUUAUGGCCUACUAUAGAGGUACUAUCUUGAGCAGCUUAUGACUCCUUGUUAGUUCUUUUAUCCAGAGUAGCAUUAGACUUUUACCAGUCCAUGACUACUCAUGGCGUCCCGAGUCCUACCUCGAUUCACUUCACCAUUGAUGGACGUCAUGGUAUCCUCGAGGCCAGAGAUAUUGCAGAGGCUCUACAGAUUCCUUUCAAGCUAGUUGAUCCAUCUGCUUUCCGCCAGUGGUCCCCAGUAUCUCAGAGAGACAUGGUACGCAUUUUAUCCAAGAGGACCUCUAUAGAUUUGAUUCUUAUUCAAAAGGAGAUUCCACCUAGGAUGCUCCUCGUAGAUGUGGUGCUACGCUCCAACCUCUUUCCCCUACAACAUUCGGUACAGAGGCGAGGAGCUAUCUUGGAUGUUUUGUUUCUCAUAUCAGAGGGCUUCUAUUUUGGCCCACACCACUUGAUCAUGGCCUUCCUCGUCCACUUUGAAGAGAAGGUCCAUAGGAAAAAGCUUUAGAGGGUGGACACCAUUCCAUUGCUAUUCCCGAGGUUGCUUUGCCAGAUCUUGGAGCAUAUGGGUUUUCCUACUGAGCCUUAGCACGAGCGCCGCUACAUUUGUCGAGAGUGAUUCACUAUUGAAAAAUGGAAUCAGUUGGUGGGCUAUUUUGCACCUCUAGGAGCCCAUCCCAUGGUAGCACCUCCAGAGCCCCCACAGACGGAGCAAACAUAGUCUACUUUAGUACCUAUAGAGCAGGGCGAGCUUCCAAUAGAGACUAUACCACUUGUCUCUGCAUCACCUACUUCAGCACCACCAGAGCCCAUGUCUGAGACUGUUUCUGUUGCUCCCCAUUUGACUCCUACUGUUCCAUCUGUUGCUCCUACUGCAUCCGAGCCUUCCAUCACCAUCUCUACUUCCAACACGACCUUGUAGUUACCUUGUAGACACUGUCCACCACACACGCCGCUCUCUUCCAACAGAUGGCUGAGAUGUGUUCCCAGCAGAACCAGUAGACUGCUAUACUUCACCAAAUCCAGCAGCACCUAGGUCUUCUGCCUCCACUUCAGCCUGACUUUCCUGCAUCAUCAGAGCCUUUAGCUCCAAUUGAGGAUACUAUUCCAGCUGAGGACACUACCACAAUAGAGGUCCAGAUCCUGCCACCUCAGGAGGCCAUCACAGAUGCCAUUGCUUCAAUUGAUCCUCAGGAUGAGCCUCAGACAGUUGACACAGUCACAACUACACCUGAGGAUGCAUCAUCUCCACAUGAGGUUCCCACUACUUGAUCAUAGGACAUCUCUUUAUCUUAUUGUAUUUACAUAUUAUAUUAGUGGAGAUUGUUCCUUGUUUUGAUGUUUUAUAUUCUGGGAUUGGAUGUAUUACCUGAUGAUAUCUCAUAUUGUACUUUUUCAGAUUAAUAUAUAGACAUCAUUUUUUAUUAUACUUGGCAUUUUUCUAUUUCCUCUACUCAUUACUUUUUUUUUUUUUUGACUCAUGUGGUUUCUCCUAUAUGACUCAGACUCCAUUUCACUCAGGAGGUACCAUGUCCUCCCUUUAUUUUCAAUUUCUCUUGACACAUUGAGGGUAAUGUUGAUCUUGGUUGGGGGGAGAGUUGAGGAAGGAAAUAUUGUUAAUAAUGCUAGGUUAAUUUGUUAAUUUAGUUACUCUAUGGUUAUUAAGGAAAAAUUCUUAAAAUGAAAUGAGAGAAAUUGAGUUCUUACAUUUUUACUUGAAUCUUAGAGUUUGUAUUAUGCUUAUUGAGGUUGAUGAAUUAUUGAAACUCCUAUUGAAUUCAACCUUAUUUCUUCCACUUUAAUCUUACCACACACUGUGCACAUUAGGUUCCAUUUAUAAGAUGAAAAACUAUCUCACCUCCUGAACUUAGGAAAAUUUCGACUUGGUAUCUUUGACCUCGUUUUAAUAGUGUUGGGACACCUUAUAAAAGGUCAAUGAGCCUUCAAAAAAAAAAAAAAAAAAAGAACAAAGUGUUUCACUUGCCUUGAAACCCGAGCAAGGUCUGAGGGGUAUAUGGCAAAAGUCUUUAAAACCCGGUGCCCUAAGCCUUUAUUGGUUAGGAGUCACUGAUCUCAAUGUUCGUUACAAGGGUGAAUAGGUGGAGUUUAACAUAUUGUAGGUGAUUGGGUAUUGAAUUUCAAUCUCAAAAAUCCGAGGUGAAAUUUGAGGAGUUAGUGGUCAAAAAAUUCUUAAAGCUUGAUGCCCUAAACCUUGAUUAGUUGGGAGUCAUCGAUGGAUCCCUGUUACAUGGACACUUUAGAAAACAAUACCUUUAGCAUUGCACUCCUACAAUGAAAAAAAAAUUGUGAAAUAAAAGAGGUGCGUUCUUAGCCUAUUGGAGGUUGGUCAGUUUGCUAAGGUUUGAGAAAGAACUAGGUUUGGGGGGAGGGGAGAAUAGUUCAACAUACUAUAAUCGGAAACUAAUAAGCUUAACACUUAGAUUUUUGUGGAAGAGUAAGGAUUGGAUCUUUGGGAGUGGAAAUUCUUUUGAUGCUUAAAUUUGCAUAAUGCAUACUCUUUAUAAAUUGUGAUUAAGUAAGGAUUGAUGACUCUUGUUGAAGGUUGGGUUUUGCCUCUUUGAUGUUCCAUGAGAAAGUAUGAUCCGCAUUAUGCCACUUGAAAUUUUUUUGGAGUGAUUAGCAUGAUUUUAUAAAUUAUUUUAUUAUCUAUUUUUCUUUAUCUCUCCUUCAUUGCUAAGGGACUAGCAAUGUGUCGUUGGGGGGAGUGAUUACUACUCAAAAAGUGCUAUUUUAUAGCUUGAAAUUAACUAUUUUAAACACUUUUGAGUAGUAGUUAAUACUUUUUAACUCAAUUGGCACAUUAAGGAACUUAGCAAGGGUUACUAAUUAGUUUUUGGCUAGUUUUGGUGUUUUUGGUAGCUUUUUUAUCAUUGAAACAAGCAAAGAAUGAGGGAGAAUUUUGUGCAAUCCAUGGCAAUGCAAGUUGAAGCUCAAAUACAUGAAGAAUCUGAGUUUUGGAGCACUUUAUAGCCCUUUGCCAAGCUAAUUAGAGAUGCAAAGAAGAAAACUAGAGGAAGAAAUCCAACAUGUAACAAUUUCGCAUGUCUAUGCAAAAAUUUCGUAUAGCAUGCGAAAUCAAGAGGAGGAGCAACUGCUAGACUGAGUGAAGGACAAUUUCGCACACCCUGCGAAACCAUAAGAUGCAACAAAAAUGAAUUCCGCACACCAUGUGAAAUUUCGCAUGGUCUACGAAAUCUUCCUGUGCACCGACUCCGUUAGAUUUUUAUCUCUAGAUUUUUUGUAUAAAUUACUAUUUUCUCCUUGUAAUCAACCAAUGAUAGGAUUUCUUAGUUAGGAACUAUAAAGGGGGGUUGGAAAGACCUCUCUAUAUAUAAUAUAUUUUUGUAUAAUCUUUUGAAUGAUAGAUGACACUUGUAAUUCCUGUAGGAAGAAAUAUACAGAGCCUUUGCUCUGCCUUUCCUUCUCAUUUUGUUUUCAUUUUUCUUUCUAGCCAAACAACCUCUGAGGAUGAUUUCUCAGGGGAUGAGUGGCUAAGUUUUACAUUUCUUGGAGUGAUGGAAACUAGGUGAAGGACCCAGAUGCAAAGAUGAGAGUUUUCCUUGCUUUAAAUAAAGGUAGUUGUUAACCAUUAAUGGUUUUUAUUUCAAGGUUUAGCUUUAAAUCCCUUAGAAUCACCUUGAAUGGCCAAUACUUGGUAAGCUUUCCGGAUUCUAUGGAUGCUUAUUGCUAGAUCCAUGGAUGUCCAUUAGUUAUCAAGUACGAGCCAUUGGAAGGUGGUUCAAGGUGAGAAUCACCUUGAACGGCCAAUACUUGGUAAGCUUUCUGGAUUCUAUGGAUGCUUAUUGCUAGAUCCAUGGAUGUUCAUUAUUUAUCAAGUACGAGCCAUUGGAAGGUGGUUCAAGGUGAGGGUCUUUAGUGUUUGAAGCCAUUAAUGGGAAGCAACUACCAUUUUUCAUGAACCCUUUGGAUCAAAUCUUAAUUGCUAAAUACAAAACCGGUUCAAGAGAUAACCAUCCUUUAUGUUAUUGUCCCCAAUGCGAGGAGAAGAUCCGGAAUCUCCCCCUUUGCCUAAGGAACCCGAUCCUAGUGACCUAAAGCUCCAAGAAACAUUCUUUUUAUAGUUAACUUCAAUUGCUAUUUUUGCUUAACUUAAAAUCAAUUUUUUCAACCACAAUUCUAUUUUCUUUAAAAGCUAAUUUUCAUAAGGAAAAACACCAUUUGAUUACCUUUACUAAAGUCGCUUGUACGAAGAAAACCCAUCCAUGUGGACGAUCCUAGAGUCACUAUACUAUAGUAGCCAUGCUACCCUAGUGUAAGGUGAUUUAGGUUUUAUAAAUUUUGUUGAUAACACCCGUCUGGCACAAGAAUCAAAUGGCACCGUUACUAGGGAGGAAUCAAUGUGCCAUCAAAUUACCCUACGUACUUGACCCAGUUACAAAUUAAAAUAGGGUUUGAAUUUAGCUAUAUCUUAUAUUCUGCAGUUCUUCUCUAUAGUCAACCUUUAAUAUAUGCAAGUUUUUUACAUAGCCACUUUGCACAUAUGGUGGCAUCACAGGUUCAGAUUCUCAUCUACUGGGUGGUAGCCAAGAAAACCUUUAUCAAGAGAUCAUCUUAGGUUUUUAUUGCUCAGAAAACAAGAAAUUAUUUGAAAAUUUUCUCCAACAGACUCAUUAGCUUGAACAUAGUUUAAACAAAAGUAAGGGUAUUUGUGCAACCAACUUCAUUGGAAAUUCAAUUCCAAGAAACAUUAUGGCAAGUCUACUAUUUUCUUUUUUAAUGAGGCAAUGAGUUUGUUUAAAUGUUUCUACCAACGUGGACAUGUAUAAGAAUUGUGCCAUUUUUCUCCAAAACUAAAAGGUGUUUUGUGAUGUGCAGUCUAGUCUUGAAAAGCUCACAUCAGGGAUGUUUUGCAUUUCAAACCUAUUUAUUUCUUUUUUUUUCACCCAUAUCAACACAUCUACUGCCAUCAUUAACUUGAGGUAUACCUAGAUAUGUUUGUGGUUGCAUGAGUUUGUGUUUGUAUCAAUUUUUUUUUUUUUAAAAAGGUGUUUGUGUUUGUAUCAAUGAAUACUAGACAUAGGUAGCGAGCUGGUGUUGCAUGUAUAGAAGUAAUGAGGAAUAUAGAAAGAAAGGAAAUGGAUGCAAGGGGUGUAGAAAACUCAAGGUUGGUCCUUAUUGAUUCCAAGUCUUUUGAGCUUAGAGUUGGACGGGUCAAGGGGUGGAGAGAUGUGUAGAUAGUGGAAAAAAGGCAAAGGUUAUCAGAGAUGGAUCAAAGUGAGUAGAUGAGUGUUGGAUUGGAUUUUGAAGUCCUUGGAUUCAUGCCAUAACUGGAGAAGGGAAAAACUCUUCAAGAGUGAGAUGAUCACAUAACCAACCUCAAAUAUUUUUGACAUAAGCUAUUAAGCUUUUAAUUCACAGUGACAACUAAUUAAGACAACUCCUAACAAUACUACCUUUAAGAAAAACCAAAUAUAUCUCAUUCUAACUGCAUGCUUAACCUUUUCUCUAUACCCAAAAUUUAUUUUUACGUAUUCAUAUCUAUGUUUGUUUUCUGAGAAAAGAUACAGGAACAAGAAAAUAGUUUGAAUAUUUAAAUUUUCAUGACUGGUAAACAUGUUUUCUAUGAGAAGUUUGCUAAACAUGUAAUUUGUUAUAAAAUAAACAACAUUUAUACACAAACUAGUUAAAAACCUAGCCUUACAUAAAACAUUAUGGGGUGAACAAUUGAUAUUCAUCUCAUCACAAACACGUAAAGGACCUUCAUCAAACAACAAAAAAACCACAUUAACAAGUACUUAUGCAAAUACUAUUUACAAUUCCAAAUCAAUUAAAUUGUCAAAAGAGAGUAGGUUUUACAUAUUAUUACUUCACAUACUUCAGUUGAUAACCCGACUCAUGGUAGCUUAGCUUUAAAGGCGUAUUAACAAAUUUAUACCUUAAAUACUAUUACUAAAGUAGCCAAGCUACUAUAGCAUAGUGGUUCUAGGAUCGUUCACUAGGAAGGGUUUUCGCAAACACAAGUGAUAUUCAAAUUAGGAAAAUAGGUGAUUUUCUUAUGGAUGUUAGCUUUAAAAAAAGAUGUAAAUGUUUUAGAAAGAUUUAAACUAAUCUAAGCUAACAUUAAAGACUAAAAUGAAAGGGUGUAAAAACAAGUUUCUCAAAGAUAGGAUAGCCAUGCUCUGGCUCUUAUGCAAAUUGGAAAUCUCAGGAUAGGCUCCUCGCGUUGGGUUUGCAACUAUGGUGAUGCUUGCUUCCCGAACCGGUAUGGAUUUAGCAAAUCAAGUUUUAAUCCUUGAAAAUGGCAAAACAGAUGGUAGUGAAUUUCAUCAAUGGUUAUUCACCUUAGACUUCCUUUGAAUGGCUCGUAAGAGAUAACUAAUGGUCUAAAGCCAAAAGCUUACCAAAUAUUGGCAACUCAAAGUCAUUCCAAGUGAUAAACUCACCUUUCAAUGGCCAUUGAAAUUGGUUCUAAUGGAUUAAUGCAAAACUUGGAAUUGAAAACCUCACCUUCCAAUAGCUCGUAGGAGAUAACUAAUGGAUAGAAAUCCAAAAGCUUAUCAAGUAUUGGCCGUUGGAAGUUGUCCAAAGGAAAUAAAAACCAAACUUUGCAUUAAUGAACCGUUAAUGAAAAACGACUACCUUACCUUCCAGGUGCGAGAAAUUUCCAUGGGAUUGCAUCCAAGCCAUCACAUAACAUCCAUACUUUGAGAAACUAAAAGUUUUAGCCAAUCAUCCUCUGAGGAAAAGCCCUCAGAGGUUGUUUGGCUACUAAGAAAAUAGAAAUGGGGCAGAACAGGAGAAGAGAGAAAAAUAGAGCUUUAUAUAUUCCUAAGUUAAUGUACAGAGGAUCGAUCCCCCAAUCAUCCCAUAUGUUUUGGAGGUGUUGUGCACCUCUAUAUAUAGCAAAAUUACAAGAUAAAGCCUUAUGUCGGCUGAAUGCAAGGUUACAAAAGGAAUUUACAUGAGAAAAUAACAAGCUACAAAUAUCUGGGAAGUCGGUGGUGCGUGCGUGGAGAAACAGAGGAAAUUUGGCAAGGUAAAAGGCACCUUGCGAAAUUUUCGCAAGGUGAAUUACUCAUGAUGCGAAGUGCCAUAUUUUCGCAUCAUGAGUUAAUUCACCUUGCGAAAUUUCGCAAGGUGGGUCUUCAUGGUGCGAAAUGGCCAAAUUUCGCACCAUGAAGAAAAUCUCCUUGCAAAAUUUUCGCAAGGUGAAAUUCACCUUGCGAAAUGGUGUUCCCAUGGCUUGAUGCAGUUGUUUUUCGAAGGUCAUAUCUUCCUCAUUUCAGCUCCAAAUCAUACACGGUUUGAAGCGUUGGAUUCUUGACUUCCUGAUCUUUGAAAUGGUAUAUAGAAUGUAGAAAAUGGACUUCGGGAAGUGCUCCAAAAGUGCGAAGGAAGACUGCAGCUGCUGUCCUCAGUUUUCUUCACUUUGCUUGUUUUUCCUCUUUGCUUCUCUCCUUUACUUGGCUUGUCUUAAUGAUCCAAAAAGCUGUCAAAACACUAAAACUAGCCACAAAUAUGAUUAUAAGUCAUUGCUAGGUCCUUAACAUGUCAAUUGGAAUAAAGAUUGAGAACUACUACACAAAAGUGCUUAAAACAUAAUGAAUUAAAGGUGUAAAAUAGCACUUUUUGGGUAGUAAUCAGCAGUACAAUUCCAAAUAUCAUAUUAGGUGGCUAGUAAUUGAAAAAUAGUUUGUAGCUAAAUGCAUAGUAUAUCUAGUUCCAAGACACAAACAUCUUUACCUUAAACUUUGUCCCAACACUUUGCUUCUACGAAUCAAAUGCACCUAAGGAUAAAUGACUAGCUUGCUUUUGGGAGUGGUCGAGCAAAUUAGAGGCAAACAAUUGAGGAAGAUUGCAACUACAUGAUGAGAGAAGUUGUAUUGAAUUAGAGUGAAGAGGAUCUCUGUUCUUUUCCAAGAAGCCACUUGUAUAAUAAAGAACCUAGCAAACCUCCAAAUGUUAGUAAAUGCGUACACAACAAUAAAUCCUGAUUUUUGAAGGGUUUUCAUGAAUGAAUCAAGCCAACUCAGACAAGCACAGGGUAAUAUUUUAUAAGCAUCAAGCUAGUCAGUAAUUGUCGCUAUGCUAAUUUGAUCAAGAUAAGCAAACUCUACAAAACAUGUAACCAUUAAACCUCUUUAACAAGUGAUCAACAUCAAGUUAACUAGUCUAUGUUUGAAUUAACCUAAAUGUUUUCCCACAUCAUCAAAUAAAUUACAAUUUUUGUACACAAAGCCAAUUUCAAGAUGAGAAUUAAUUUAGAAAUUACAAUCAUGCAAUCAUAGAAGCUACUUUCCAAGUAACAACUUGUUUAGUAUUAAAAGACUCCUAAUCAAAACUCUUACUCGUUUCCCUAAACAAAUGGUAGACACUUCGUAAGAUAAACCUUAUUCUCUAAAGAAUUGUCUUCUUCUAGAUAAAAAAAAAAAGUAUAUGAAAUAAAUUGAGAAGAUAGUAAUGGUAACUUUUAAUCAAAGUUGGUCUCUAUCCUUAGAUAAAUAUUGUCUUUUUUAAGAAGUUAAUUUUUAAUGAUCCUUUCUUCUACUAAAUCCCUAAUUAACAUCAAUCUAAAAGAAACAUCUAAAGGUAAGCCUAAGUAUAUAAAUGUGAGACGUCCUACCCUUUAACCAACAAUUGAAACUAGUAAUUCCAUGUUCUCACAUUCUAUUUCGGAAAUAAAAUUUUCUAUUCAUUCAAAGAACCACCACAAAGAAAAGAAGGUUUACCCCACAACUAACAAUUAAUCAUUACCAUUUCCUAUCAAAUGAAAGAAUAGAACCCUUAGUAAAGAAUAAAUGAAAAAUUUAUAACCCUUCAACAUUAUUUCGUUGGUCAUAAAGCCUUGAAGGAAACCAUUAUUGAUGGCUCUUUGAACCAUAUAACUUGAGGCUUGUAUGACUACAUAAAAAAAUAUGAGGAAAAUGGAUUGCCUUGUCUCAAAACUAGUAAGAUUGGUGAAAAACCAAAAGGAGAUUUUGUUUUUUUUCAAUAUAGAGAAUUUGAUUGUAGUAUUGAUAAACUUAAUCCACCUAUUUUCACCCAUCAUGCCUAUGCCACUUACUUGCAUUUAAAAUGUCAAAGCCAAAAUAGUUUUCUCUCGAUGAGAUAAAAAAUUAAAAAUUAAAAAUUAAAAAUUUCAAAGAGUUCAAACUUUGCCACUCAUCCACAACUCCCUUGGUUUAAAUCCUUUGCAGUAUGUAACAUCCAUGAGCUAAUGAUAAAUAGAUUACAGGUUACCCCCACCCAUGUCUAGUAAGAACAAUAAAGUCCUACAACAAGCUAUUUUUGCAUCAAACAACACAGUUGCAUUGUUAAUUGUAUAUGGUUCUUGAAAGUACAUAACCUAGAAACAUCUUUUUCACUAUUUCAACAUAGUCUCCUUCCUCUAUUACAAACAAGCUAUUAAGCUAAGGCUCCCAUUCACAUUCUGAAAAAUAUUUUCCCUUUCCAAAACUAAAAAAGAACAUAAAACAAAUUAAUGAUGUGUGUGGUUCUCAAAAUUUUUUUCCUCAACAAUUCCCCACAAACAGUCAUCCCUGUAAACAUAAAAAUUUAAGAUAUAACAAAAAAAAAAAAAAAAAAGCAUUUUUCCCAAAUAUUCUAAAUCACAGAGUCAUGAACAACGGAAAACAACCAUUCUCGUUUCCUAAAUUCACUCAGUUUGAAAAUUUCUUUAACCAAAACAAAUUUUCCCUCUAUUUCAUUCAUGCCAAAAUGAAUCAAAAUACAACAUACCACAAAAUAUAAGACCUUCGGCCCCUAUGUUUUCUCAACAACCAAACGAAUCCUUAAAUGGAAAACUCACAUGUGAUUGAUUAAUCCAAAGCAAGAGAAAACUCCACUUUGGUUUUCAGAAACCUUAAAAAAAUUCCACCUUUGAUGAAGAAAUAUGAAGAUAUGGCUCCACUUUGGCUUCAUUGAAGGUUUUCAGAAGAUGGUUAUCGGGUUUGGGUGGUUAGCUCAUGAAGAGAGACACACUAGGGUUAGGCCAAAAUGCGACGUAGAAGGCUUUGGGAAAAUGGGUAUCCAUUGCCUGGUCAGGACGUCAAUAAACAAAUCGGCUACCUGUCUUUGUGUAUCAAACGAGCUAUGAAAAUGCGAAUUUCCUAAGAUGGGGUUAGGGUAAAAUGAGAGGAAGUGACAAAGAGAGUUUCCCUAAAUUUCCAAUGUUUCUUGGGUCGAGUGUUCUAUGGGUUUCAAAUUUGAGAACUUCAAGUUUCAGAUUUUUGUGCUUAUUAAAUUGCACACCUUCAUGUUGACAUGGACACCGGUGGCUGUUUUGACAGGGAGACAUUAAAGGGCAAUUUUGGAAAUGAAUAUGUAAACAUUAUAUAGUGCACGAGAAAGAUAAUAUUUUCCCCAUUAAUAGGGAAAUCUUAUAUUUCAUUUACGUAGGACUUCAAAACCAUAUAUUUUCCUAAUCAUAGGCUGGCUGAAAUUUAUUGCAUUUUUUGCGAAUAGGACAAAAAAUAAGGACAAUGGUUUGGUGUCCAUUCAGUCGUGCAUUCACUCCUGUGUCUUGAGUAAUAAGCCCUUCCUCAGCUGCAACCCAAUGUCCAAUAUUAGUUAUAACUCAAUGCUACUUCACUGCUCAUUGUUUGGCCAUAUUUUGAGGCCAUCCCGUACAAGUACAAACAUUUUUUUUUUGAAAUUUAAUUUUUAAAAUUAUCAUAACUUAUAUCAAAUUGGAUUCCACUUGAAGUAUUAAAAUACCACAUAUUGAUAUUUAUUUUCCAAACAAUCUUAUUUUAAUAAUAUUUUUUAAAAAAGAAAAAAAUCUCUAAUUUUGGCAACUACUUGACAUAAUCUCAACAAUUCAGUAGUUGAUGCGGAGUGAUAUGAGAUCAUUUUGAUGGGAUAAAAUUCAACAAAAAUUCAAUUCCGCUAAUAAAAUAAAAUUUAUGAUGUUUAACAAUAAUAUAAUAUACAAUGACAAGAAAUAUAAAAUGUACUCAUUUAUUAAUAAAAAAUACUAAAAUUAUAUUUUUGAAAGAAGUCAAUGUAAAAACAUUGAGAGAAUAUAUUUUAAUUUUUUUUAACCAUUGUACUUAUAAAAAACAAAAACCAUGAAUUUUAACCAUGGUCACUAUCCAUGCAUGGGAGGGUAUAUCUGGUGUCCAUUCAAUCCAUGUCUUUAAAAGUUAGUAGAAAGGAACCAAAAGUCAAGCUUGAGAUGCAUAAGUACUUGAGUUGAUGUAGUUGCAAAAGAAAUGAUGAGGUAAAGAGCUAACCAAAAGCCAAGUUAAAAGGUGUUUUUGGGUCAUAAAGGAGUAAAGGUAUGGACCCCAAAAUCAGACCAGUCAUGCGUACAUGAGCAGGACCCAUAAUUUCAACACACUUCUUCGAACUGGGCUUUCUACGGAAUUUUGUUUAUUUUGACAUAAAUACCCCCAAUCGUGGAAACCCAUGUUAUUGCUUUCAUGCUGAUUAGUCAAUACACUAAUCUCAUAUGGGGGGCUGAACCUUAUUCCAUUAGAGACAAAGGAACCUGCAAUAACAUUCUGGCUAUGACACAGGUGACAGGGAGUUCGAUUUUUGUUACUUGUAAAUAUAUGUUUAUCAGUGUAUGUUUUAUAUAUGAAUAGGUAUGCGCAUGCAGACUGACUUGAUUUUGCCCAUGAUGCUUCACAACUUAGCCAUUGCAUUCAAAAUCACCUUCAUUUAUUGGGGAUAAGAGGAUCAACCUUUCUUGCAAGGAAGCAACAAAACCUUCUGUGCCUUCAUCAAAAUCUUAGUCUGUUCCUUUAAUUUCAUCUUUUCGUUCUUCUUUGUAUUUUUCUUAUUUUCUUUGGUUACUUUAAUAAGAUUUGCUCUUUGGUUAAGUUUCACAAGGUUUGUCGCUUGAUUGCAUGGCCUUAUUUAGAGUAGUUUCUUGAGAGAGGAUAGUUUUGAAUUCUGUGAUAAGGACCUUCCUUUAUGUUACUUAUGGAGUUUUCACAAACUGCUGUCCAAGUGAGCAGCUUAGAUAUGCAGUGGAAGAAACCACAGCUAUGAUAUGCAGUCACUUUGUCCUUUAACAACCUGCUUGUUUUUGCCAAUGUUAACCUUCAAAAGGGGAAUAUUUUACCUCUUGACCUUUCCUGCAAAGACUUUUCUUGCUCACUUUAUUCUGCAUGAACCUUUUGGUGCAGAGGAAAACGGUCUGCAAGGACUACUAAUGGUGCCAGCAAUGCUGCAGCAAAGAAGGGCGGUGGAGCUGGUGGUAUGCAAAGCCAGCUUGUUAACAGGGCAUUGGAAGGCAUAUCUCGCGGUGGAAGAAGUGGUAUGAGGGGCAGAGGCAAAGGGUGAGGAGGACGUGGACGAGGAAGGAGCUACUCGUAGCUUCGAUUCCCACCCAUAUUGUGUAACAGAACCAUCAGAACGACGGAGUUAGUAUGAAUCAGAAGAAUACAAACAAGAGUCAUUGAUGUAUUAAAACUCUCUUCUAUUGGAACGAUUUUUUUAUUUAUAUAGGGGCUGCUAAUGAGUUGUUUUCAGUUGUUUUCGUCUAAACCAACAAGAAGUUGGUCAGUAAGCCAGGCAACUGAUGCUUUAUGCGUCGUUAGAAAAGGAAAAGGUUUAAUGAUGAAACGACAGCACAAAAGCCAGCUGAAGGUACAAAUAAAUUAAUCAUGGACAUUACAGUGAAGUUGAGAUUUACUUCUAGUGUGGGGAAUCUCAUGAUUAUUGAGAAAGAUUUAAAGAUCAAAAUCUAGAGAUAGGAGUAAUUACCUUGUUAUAAACACAGUCAACCAGCUCUUCGUAUGUGCCAACAACUGGAUGGAACUCGUAGGGUAGAGAGUAAUUUUGCUCCCUCAGGGACACGUUUUAGGUGAUGUUAAAAAUUGGAUACAAUGGAGAAAAGAAACACUCUCAAAUACUCUCUUGAUACAAUAAAACUCUCAAAGUUACAAAAUAAGAACAAGAAAAAGAAGAAUACAAGAAAGACUCAAACAAGUUCUUGGAACUUUGUCCAAAAACUCUAUUUCCUCCCACCACUAGAAAUCUUUUGGGAACUAAUGGAAAUAGUCUUGGGAUUGAUCAAGCCUUUUCACUUUUCUGCAUAAGAUUUCAAAAAGAAGAAAAGUCAUAUAUAACACUCUUAGGGUUGAAAAAUGGUUACAAGGAUGAGAAAAAACUCAUUGUCUUCCUCAAUCUCUUUAUCUUUGUAACAUUUAAAAAUUAAAUCAUAUAUUUAAUUCACACAUUAAACAUGAUUUAAUCUCAAAUGUGUAACUCUCUUACACUUAACCUCUUAAGUUUUAUAAAGUUACAAAGAUGAGAAGACACAUUGUCUUCCUUAACCUUUCAAGUUUUAUAACAUUUCAAAACUUAAUCAUGUGUUUAAUUCACAUAUUAAAAAUGUAACCCUUCUUACACUUUAUUUUCAAAAGUUAUUUUUCAAAAGUGUAACUCUUCUUACACUUUAUUUUUAACCAACAAUAUAUAUAUAUUUAUAUAAAUAUAACAUUAGGUACCCUGGCCAAAUCACUGGAUCAUCCAAAACCUUCGUGGUGUUUCUACCGCAAUUUUUGUCUCCACCUUCUCUGCUGAGAGGGUUGUCCAAGUCCUGCGUCCAACAGUCAAGCUCCUUGUAGUCCGUUCUAACAACGUUUAUAAUCCUGAACGGCAACGAAUUUGAAUUUGAUAGAUCACCCCCUUCAAAAAUAAUGUUGCCACUUAAACCACUGAAGUUGCUUGAUAAUAUAUUUUUUAACAACAUAUUUGGAGUAUUAGUAUCAUCACUAGCUAAUCUCUCCAGGGCCCGUGUGAUGACAGCAAUGCUAUCAUAUGCUCAUAGUGCAUGAAUUCCAGGCUGGGCGUUGUCUUCCUCUGGGUUUUCGGAUUUAAAUUUUUUCUGAAACUGGGCAGAGAAUUCUAGGAAGGGUCUAUUGGAUUUGGAAUAGUAGGACUUGAUUCCUAGAGCCCCUUCCAUAUAGGGGAUAAAGGAAGUGUCCAUGGAAUCCAGGAAGCUUGAAAUGCUAUCUGUAAUUAUCCAGGCUGAGUCUUUCCCCACAAAAUCCAUCCGCCCUGCUUCUUGGAACAAAUGGGUAGCCAUCGGUAAUGAUGAUUGAAGAACAAUGAAAACCCUGGAUUGUGUGCUCAGAAGCUUCAAGAGCUCUUGAUGGACAUCUCCUCUUGGAUCAGAUAGAGAUGAUAUGGGAGGAAGAGACAAAUGGUACUCGAUCUCCGAUCCAACUCUUUGAAGAGCUUCAGAUAAAAGAGUUAACAUCUCAACGUUGCCACCGUACGCAUCAUCUUCAUAGAUUGCAAUGACCCUUCGCCAGUGAUAGGAGUGAACGAUCGCUGAAAUGCACCUUAUUUGUUCAGAAACAUUGCUUCCCAUUUGUAUCAGGGUGGGCCUUCCAAGCUGCCUUGACGGCCGGACACUGGCUGAUGCCGCCAAUGAAAGAACUGGUACUUGAGCUUGGUCUUCUAUUUCAUCAGCUAAAGCCGAUUGCUGCCACGUAUCCAUGCCCACAAUCACUUGCACUUUGUUCUCUUUAAUCAGUUCUUCAGCUGCAAUUAAUUAAAUGUUAUGAACUCCAUCAAUUGUAUUCCAUUUUUGUUCUGCCGAUUUCAUUCAUGACAUAAUGUAACAAUAAAUGAUUUUUUUUAUUAUUGUUUAUAAUACAAUUCCAAUUUCUAAUUUAUAUAUCAUCCUUUUCAUGCUUUAUAUUUUCUGAGUAUUGAGGCCUAGGAUCACUUACAUAGUAAAUAAUUUACAUGUAUUAUGAGUUGUAUAGAAAACCAAGUCAUAGGUUUCUUGCAAGUUAAUUACUCAUUUAGUGUUGAUCAAGUCAUUUAUUUAAGAUUAUAGUGCACUACCUUCUAAUUGUAGGGAUGACUUAUCUUGAUCUUAAGGAUAAGGUUUCCAUGGUGAAUGCAUUACUAUGAAUAAUUAUACAAUAGACAAAAUCUAUAAUAAUUCAUGAUAUUGAUUAUUAAGUAGUCAUGACUUUACUAAAUUAUUAUACUAUAUAUGCUCUUGAUCUUAAGAAUAUAUUGAGUUAGUAUUGAGAUUUUUAAUAACUUUGACCUAUUUGUAAAAACUUAAAAUGAUCAUAUAUCCCACUUAUGAAGGAUGUUAUAACAUUUACUUUUUUAUAAUAAAAAAAAAACUAAUUAUGUAUUCUAAGUAAACUAGUAGUAGAUAAAUUCAACAGCUAGUUUCUAUCAAGUGUGUAUGGAUACAGUAGGGGGACAGGUCUCAGGAGGCUCCAGCACAUCAGAAGAGGUCACCUUGAGUUCAUAGUCACUGUAGCUGGAAAGACGUCCGGAGGCUCCGUGGGUAUCAAAACGGCUCACUGUUGGCCACCUUGUAGAGAUCCAUUCAUCUCCAGUGGGAUGGGGAGACAAAUUUGACAGUCUUUCAUUAGGAAACUCAGUUUGUCCAUUAUGAAAGAAAUGCACUAAUUGAACAGUCUUCAUCCAGACACUUUCAUCACUUGGGUUUGCAUCACUUCUGGAUGCCUGGUGACGUUUGAAAUCGAUGAGCAGGCGAAGGAAGAACAGUAGAAAGCAGAGAGUGGAAGUGGCGCCGCAUAAAAGGUAGAGAGCCCAGAAGUUCCCGAGGCUCAGUUCAUCAUUUGUGGUGGCUGAACACUCGGCAGAACGAGGAAACCAUUUAUCUUCUAAUUCUUUUAGAAUCCUCUUCUCAGAUAUGGUUAGGAUGGCUUCAGAGACGUCAGUAGCUAGUGGAGAGCCUUUCUGAAAGGCCUGCAUGGAGAUUAACAAGGAUGACAUGACCAAAGCUAAUUUCAUUGUGAGAAUGCUAAACAAAUUCCAUAUGCUAUCCUAUUCCACUGAGCAAUGGUUCAACUAAUUCCUACCCCCAGACAAGGGAUGGGCCAAUUUUCUUUGGGGGAAAAGGGCAUCGACGAAUCAGUUUUGGCCACUUCACACAUUUGAUAAGAAAAGUUAUAGAAAAUUUUAGAGAGUGCAAAUGGGGAAGAGUUCCAGCUACUACUCACAAAGCCUAAUCCUCCGAAUCUGUUGAGGGGUUGACCGGCAGUGUAAUUCUUGCAGAACUGACUAGUGAGAAUUUUUGCAUGAGGAAGGCCAAGAACGGCAGCUGAGAUGUUCCCACUCUGGAAUUCGCCAUGAUAUUGGUUUUGGUUGCAAAUAUUCUUGAUAUGAGCUCCUUCGAAAUUAAACACGUUCUCUAAGUAUUGCCUCACAAAUGAAGCACCAUUACAACCAACCACAGACCUAGUAGCUUUUAGCCAUUCGAUAUCCAUCACAUUGGAAUCAAGUCGUUGGACAGUGAGCAUGGAAGAGAGACUAGCAGUGUAGCUCGAGGUUAAAACGAAGACUACAAACAGCCACACCACUAUCACUACUCGAGUAAUAUUGCUACGAAUUGUCUCCCCUGGGAAAUGAAACAACAGCUAGCUUUCUGAGUAAUUUAAUUAUUGAGCAAACCAAAAUCUCUUCCAUUUUUAAUACUAAUACUAAUACUUACUAUGAGCAAAGAAAAGAGAAGAGAAGGUGAACCAAAGAGCAGUCCCAAGCUGACUCCUCCAUGGGCCUCUGAAUGCCGGAUUAUUGGAUUGGUACUCCAGUACCCAAACUAUGAACAUGGUGUAGAUCAAGAGGGCACCUGUGACUACCCACGUUUCCCAGGUGAAAGUCUUCAGGAACAUCCAUGCCUUGUGAGGUUCUUCAGACGUUACUUGUACUAUCACCAAUCCCGACUCAGCAUAUGGCACUGUGAAUUCCACUUUUUUUGAACGGGUGGCAAGUAUUGUCACAUCCCCAACCACAGCAUCAUAGGUCUUCCAUGUAUUUGAUUCACAAGAGAUAUGCACAAAAUUUCUAUCAGAAACAAAUGAUUGAAACAAAUACAAAGUAUGAUUCAUGAAUUCUGAGAGUUAAUCUUCAGUACUAUGUUCACUGCUCUUUCAUGGGGAUGAAGUCAAAACCUAAUAUACCAGAAAAGUCUACUGAACAGUCCUCUUCAAAACCUAAUAUACCAGAAAAGUCUACUGAGCAGUUCUUUGGAAGGCAUAAAAAUUGAGAAGUUUCAAGGGUUUGAAAAACCUAAUUAGGGAAAUAUAUAUUUCCACAUAAAACUUCCUUAAAUUCUUGCGCUCUUGCUGUAGUAAAGCAGGCAAAUAUUAACUAGGAGAGAAAUGAGGUUCAGUCUGACUUUGAUUUUCAUUUAAACCAACCACAUGUUAAUUGGGUCAGUAAGCUAGACAAGCUUUUUUUGAGUCAUUAGAAAAGGAAGAAGGUUUACUGAUGAAAUCACAACAUAAAUCAUGGACGCAAAUGUGAAGUUGAGAUUUAAUUCCAGUGUGGGGAAUAUCAGGAUUAUUGAGAACGAUUUAAAGAGCAAAAGCUAGGGAUGGGAGUAAUUACCUUGUUGUAAACACAAUCAACCAGCUCAUCGUAUGUGCCAACAACUGGAUGGAACUCGUAGGGUAGAGAGUAAUUUUGCUCCAAAAUUUUUAACACCUCGUGGAAAAUAUCAAUACAGAAACCAGUAUAUUUUUUUUCAGGCUCGAUUUGAUCUACGUCCACCUUCACAUAAUUUUUAAAAGUGGUGUUAGCUGGAAUUCCAAUCUUCAAUGGUUUUGCAACAGUGGGCAUUUCCCAUCCCUUGGGGACACGUUUUAGGUACCCUGGCCAAAUCACUGGACCAUCCAAAACCUUCGUGGUGUUUCUACCGCAAUUUUUGUCUCCACCUUCUCUGUUGAGAGGGUUGUCCAAGUCCUGCGUCCAACAGUCAAGCUCCUUGUAGUUCGUUCUAACAACGUUUAUAAUCCUGAACGGCAACGAAUUUGAAUUUGAUAGAUCACCCCCUUCAAAAAUAAUAUUGCCACUUAAACCACUGAAGUUGCUUGAUAAUAUAUUUUUUAACAACAUUUUUGGAGUAUUAGUAUCAUCACUAGCUAAUCUCUCUAGGGCCCGUGUGAUGACAGCAAUGCUAUCAUAUGCUCGUAGUGCAUGAAUUCCUGGCUGGGCGUUGUCUUCCUCUGGGUAUUCAGAUUUAAAAUUUUUCUGAAACUGGGCAGAGAAUUCUUGGAAGGGCCUAUUGGAUUUGGAUUGGGAAUAGUAGGACUUGAUUCCUAGAGCCCCUUCCAUAUAGGAGAUAACGGAGGUGUCCAUGGAAUCCAGGAAGCUUGAAAUGCUAUCUGUAAUUAUCCAGGCUGAGUCUUUCCCCAUAAAAUCCAUCCGCCUUGCUUCUUGGAACAAUUGGGUAGCCAUUGGUAAAGACGAUUGAAGAACAAUGAAAACCCUGGAUUGUGUGCUCAGAAGCUUCAAGAGCUCUUGAUGGACAGCUCCUCUUGGAUCAGAUAGAGAUGAUAUGGGAGGAAGAGGCAAAUGGUACUCAAUCUCCGAGCCAACUCUUUGAAGAGCUUCAGAUAAAAUAGUUAACAUCUCAGCGUUCCCACCGUACGCAUCAUCUUCAUAGAUUGCGAUGACUCUUCGCCAGUGAUAGGAGUGAACGAUAGCUGCAAUGCACCUUAUUUGUUCAGAAACAUUGGUGCCCAUUUGUAUCAGGGUGGACCUUCCAAGCUGCCUCGAUGGCCGGACACUCGCGGCUGCCGCCAAUGAAAGAACUGGUACUUGAGCUUGGUUUCCGAUUUCAGCAGCUAAAGCUGCUUGCUGCCAUGUAUCCAUGCCCACAAUCACUUGCACUUUCUUCUCUUUAAUCAGUUCUUCAGCUGUAAUUAAAUGUUAUGAGCCCCAUCAAUUGUAUUCCAUUUUUGUUCUGCCUAUUUCAUUCAUAUUCAGUACAUAACAGUGUUUUUCAAUACAUGGAAGCAAUAAAAAUCCAUUUCCACCUAUUUCAAUUUCUUUUCUUUUUCUAAAUGAUGAGUGAUGCUUAAAACAAGUUUUUCAAGUUAUCCUAAAUUUAUUUUUUAGAGGAAAACUUAAGAAUGAAAAAAAAAAAGGAAAAGAAAAAGGAAAAACAUUAGAAUUUAAUAUUUUUUUAUUUUACUAUGAUUGCGAAAUGACCAAUAUAAAGACAUCCAUCUCUCUAUAUCUUCCUACUUUUAUUUUUUAAAAUUUAAAAAAAAAUUAAUAUAAAAAAUAAAAAUAAUUAUUUUUACUUCUCUAUAUCCAUUCAAAGUUUAACCCUAAUUCUUCCUUUGUCCUUUCCUCUGCCUCGUCCCUUCUUUUCCUUCCUAAUGGGUCAUGAAUGAUACAAAGGAAGAGAAUAAAAGGGAAACAAAAUUGAGGUGGGUGUUAAAGAAGAUGAGGAUAAUUUUAUCCUUUCAUAUUUAAUUUUUAAUUUAAAAUAAAUAAAUAAAAUAAAAAAUAGAAGAUAUAUAAGUGACGUAGAGAUAGUUUGGGUGGCUGAUGUUAUAACCACUCGUGUAUCAUUCUAGAGGAUUAAUGUUGAAAAUAAUAGGAGAUUAGACAGCCGUAGAAGGAAUCAAGGAAGAGAUGACCAACCUGUUAAGGCUGCCCCAUAGAGUUCUCCGGUGAAGUUCCGGGAGAUAAGAGAGAGCUUAUGAUUCUUGGAAUUGUUAUUGAACUUAUCCACAGCUAUCUUGAUGGCGGUUAUUUCCUCUUUACCUUUACGAGAAUUAGCAUCAAUGAUUGCCCCAAUGAUGGUGGAGUUGUCAUCUACUGCUGUGCCGGUGAUGUAUCCAAGAUGGCAGACAAUUAAAAGAAUGGAGGUAAGUGAAAAGUAGAUGAAACAUGGUGUUGGAGAAUUCAGUGGGGAGGGCAUUUCUGCUCUUAGCAACCAGCAAGCAAUUAGUGCCUUAAAGGAGAUUCUUCUAAGCUUAAAUAAAUAUAAAUUCACAAGUAGAAUAUUCAUUUCGAAUCCCCAGUAUGAAGUUUCCUUCUUACUUCGUAAGUCAAUUCUUGCUGGGGAAUUCCCUUCCAUUACUUCCAUUCUCCUUGUACGCGGUAUUCAAAGCCAACCGCAUGGAUUUAUGGCCAAGGACAAAGAAGAUUAAACAAUGUGUCGUUUUCAUUCAAGGAUUUAGUGGUGUUGGAGGUAAGCGAAAAAUAGAAGAAACAUGGUGUCGGAGGAUUUAGUGGGAAGGGCAUUUCGGCUUUUAGCAACCAGCAUGAAAGUGCCUCGACUUUGAAUCCACGAGUUGAAUUCUUUAUUUUGAAUCCCCAAUACGAAGUUCCCUGCUUGCUUCGUAUAUGAAUGCAUGCUGUGUUGAAAUCACUGAUUCACUGAAGGAUAGACACAAAGAAUAUUCAAACAUGAGACUACAUGCAUUUAUGGUCAAGGAAAUCACUGAAUUAACAUCCUUCAUUCCUUUAAUACUUUUGGUUUUAUCUACGAGAGAGAGAGAAUCUCGAUGGUGAUCGAACAAAAAGCGUGGAUUUUUUUAUAAUUAUUUUUUAAAUAAAAAAAUUUAAAAAUAUUUUUAGAAUGUGUUUUUGAGCUGAGAAAUUUUUUUUUUCAUUUUACUAAUAAGAAAAUAUUUUUAUAAAACGUUUCCAAAUAGAUUCUAAAUGUCAAGUUUUAGAUUUUGGUAAGAAUUGUGGUUAGAUGAUGCUGGAUUGAUCAUCAUGAUAAUACCACUUAAAAAAAAUUAUCAAUAUCAUCACAUGAUUAUUUCUCAUCUUAUACUAUUUAUAUAAUUCAACAAGCCUAUAUUUUGACUUAAUGAAGCUUAUAAAUUUAUAAUAUCUUUCAAAAGGGAGAAACAAUCUGGUGCUUAUGCCCCGCAUGCUGAGAUAUACAACUCCAUUCAUGCUCUGCCUUGCUAAUUGAUCAUCAAUUGGUGGAAUAUUUCAUUAACUAAGAAAGUCUUGAAUAUUUCAAUUUUUUCUAAUCGAUCUCUAAUCAAUGGAUGUCAUCAUUAACUAAUAGUUGUCAUAUGUUUCCACAAACAUUAGAGAUAAAACCGAAAAAAAAUCAUUUUUCUUAAUUUUUAUGAUAAAGGGGUAUUUUUAGAAGUUGACAAAUGCGUUAAUAUGAUAAGAAUAAACCUUGGAAAAUUAUUCAAAUUUGUCAAACUAAUUGUUCAAGGCUCUAGAAGAAAAAAUGAGAACAUUCUAAUUCCAAAUACUUUGAAUGUGUUCAAUUUUCAAAGUAUUGAUAAAAUUUACAAUGACUUGAUUGUGUCAUAUUUGACUUGGUCAUGGUCAUACAAGAUUAAUAAAAUAGUUUUUCUGCAAUUCAACACUAACUUCAUUCCAAACAUCAACUCCAUUCCAAAUUAAUUGGUAUGUCUCAUUUAUUUUGACUAAUUCACACUUUCAUUCCAAACAUCAACGCCAUUCCAACUUAAUUGGUAUGUCUCAUUUAUUUUGACUAAUUCACACUAACUUCAUUCCAAACAUCAACACCAUUCCAACUUAAUUGGUAUGUCUCAUUUAUUUUGACUCAUUCAUGAUCAACUCUCAAAAUGAUUGUAUUAUGACUCCAAUAUAUAAAAAUAAAUAAAUAAAAUAAAAAUUAAAAUUAAAUAAGGAGAAUUGUUGUUCUCAUAAAUUCCUUACCUUAAUGAAAAAAAAAAAAAAAGGAAUUGAAAAUUUUAAAUCUCUAUUUUUAGAAGAAGAUCGAUUGACCUUUCAAAGUAUCCUGAGCUAUAAGUUCUUCAUUUUCCUCUCAUUCUCUAUUUAGAGAUUGCAUCUUCUCCCUUAUAAGUAUUGGCCACAAUGUUGACUUGACUAAGGUGAAUGGCUUCUUGCAAAUGUUUGUUGUGAAAGAGUACUUCUAGAAAAAAGUUGACAAAUACAUUGAUAAGAUGAUAAGAAACCUAUGCUUGAGAAUCACUAAACAAAAGUGGGUUAGAGAAUCUAAAAAGUUGAUUGAAACUAAUUAAUUAAACGAAAGCAUUGAAAUGGUGGUAUAUACAAACAAAGUUAUCUUUACUUUAGCAAUAAAUUAAGAAAUUUUAUGCUAAAUAAUAUGAAUUUAAGACUUUUGUUUUAAUGAAAAAAAAAUCAUUGAUCUUAAAAUUUUCAUUAAAUAUUGAAAUAAUGAUAAAUAAUAUGAUCUUCAAUAUAUAUAUAUAAAGUAUAACAAAAAUGCCAAAUACUUUUUUCAUAAAAUAAAAGAAUAUACAAGACAAAUUUCCUUUUUAACUGAACAAAUAAUGAUUUACUUCCUAUAAUUUGAUGACAUUCAUGAAUUUGUCCCUCUUGAGCUAAUCUCCAAAUGUGAAUAGAAUUCUUCUCAUUAGAAUAAUAACAAUUUUAAAGUCACCUUGAUUCCAAGACCGAUAAAUUCAUAAUUUUUCUUGCUUGAUUAGCAUCUCCAAAAAUCAUGCAUUCCAUCUUAACCAUUAUUGUAUCACUAAAAUAUAUGUAAAUUGUCAUUUGAAUGUGCUUACAAGUCUCUAAAAUAAAUUAAUUAAAAUUUAACGUAAAAAUAAAUUAAUAAGAGGAUCUAUCAAAUCCAUUAAUGCCCAAAAACUCUAAAACUUCUUUUUAAAAUACAUAAGAUUAGCUAAGGAUAAAUAUUGGAAACUAAUAGAAUAUUGGUGUUUAGUAAUUGGAGCCAAAAUAUGUGCCCCAAUGACACAUAAACACUAUUAUUUAUGUAACAUAAAAGGCUAGAAUCACCCAACUUAACUCAAUUUGAUGCUAAGAUCCUAGUUAUGGAUCUAACUUAUAUUUUGAACUUAAUUCCAGGUGUAAGAAAUGAAAAAAAUGCUAAGUGCAAAAGCCAUUUUUUCAACCAAGGUAGAGGGAAAGGUUAAAAAAAAUGCAGACUCAAGACUUAUGGAGCAUGAGAAGACCAUAAAAAUAAGAGAAUCGCAAGCAUGAAAGAUGAGCAACUAAUGUUACGGAGAGAAUUAGAGAGCAAGCAACCAUGAAAAAAGAAGGUUUGAAACAAAUGCAAUCGAGCUUAAAAUGGAAUUUGAAACUCAAACCUAGUAAUAACACAUACCCUGAAUUUAAAGGGAAUUUUGGAGCAACUUUCAUAAUCUUUUUGAGUGAUUCCACAUAUGAUUUUGAAUUUGAAGAAGUCAAGAAUCCAACUCUUCAAAUAACUCAUGAUUUGGAGUUGAAAUGAAGAAGAUGUGAGCAAUUAAAAAGAAUUGUGCAAAGAGAAACCAAAGAAGUAUCAAUUUCACAAGAUGUGCAAAAUGGAAUAGAGUUAAAUUUUAUAAGAGCUAAGAAACCUAUGGGAAUUUCUUUCGCAUUAACAUGCAAAUAUUGACACAACCAUGCCAAAACCACUAGAAUUGUGUUGAAGUGUUGCCAAACCAUUUCCAUUUCACAUGAUCAUGCAAAAUUGGUAAUCCUCAUGAGAAAUUAAAGAGUUUUAUUGUUACACGUCUCUUUCAGGGUUAGACUAUAUGUAUUUGCUAUGAUUAAAGGGGAGAAAAAUGGAGAGAGAAAGGAAUUGAACUUUUUUUUUUUCAAUUCUUUAAUAAAUCUUUAGUUUUUUUUUUCUCUCUUUUCCAUCUUUCUAUUUUAUUUUAUUGGCAACCAAACAUGGGUUGUGAGGAAAAAUCCUCCAUCAUGUUUGGAUAAUUUAAUAGAUCCAGAGAUGUUAAUAGGAAUGUGAAGAAUCCAAAUGAGUAGUAAGAAAUGGUAAUGAAUUAAUUGGGUUUCUUUAUGUUUUCAUAUUUGAAUUAGUAGGAUUAAAUCAUCUCUAUUUGUUUACCCUAGAUAAGGUAUAAAGGAUUCUUACCAAGGUAUUAGUGAUUGUUGGAAAGAUCUUAAUCACUAGUUAACUCAAUUUGAUCCUAUUGUUAGCAAAUCUAAAAGUCGAAUCUACAAUAUGGAUAUGGGCUCUUGAUUGAAUAGAAUUGAAAAAUAAAAUCAACCCUUAUAUUUAAUUGGUUUGAGAGAUUUGUGCUUAAAAAAAUAAAGAUCUAAAUUUCAGAUCCAAUAAUGAUCAUGGGAUUCAAUUUGGUCUCAAAUUGACUUUAAUCCUAUAACCUAGAUUUUACAAGACUCACUUUUUAGGGAUUCAAUGUUGGAUUGUUCAACUCUUAAGGACAUUUUCUUUUAUUUUAUCAAUUUCAUUAAAUACUUUAAGAAAAUUUUAUUUAUAUUUAUUUAAAUUAGGUUUUAUUACCUUUAGAAAAUAAUUCAUCAUUCCAACCUAAAAUUAAUUAAACACAUUAGUGUUGAUCCUAGAGGGUGGCAACUUGAAAUACUACAAAGUCAUGGUAACUCCAUCUCUGGUUUUUUUUUUUUUUUUUUUUGCCAAAGUUAUCACGUAUUUAGGCUUUUAGUAUUUUAAUUAGAAAAGAGAUUUGUGGUCAAUUAGCAAUAAUAUAAUAUGUGAUGGCAAGAAAUAUGUAUUUUAAAAAAUACACUCAUUACUAAUAUAAAGUAAAUAUUUGAUUUAAUUAAAUGUCAAUAAUGUUAAGAUAGAGUUCUUAAAAUCAUGACAUGAGGCAAUGAUAAAUGGAUUUUAUUAUUUAUAUUAUGAUUCUAGUUUCCCAAUUUCUCUAUCCUAUUCAUGCAUUACACUCACUAAGCUUUUAGGAUUGGUAUCUCUUGCAUUAUACAUAACUUCGGCGCAUUAUACAUAGCUCUUAUAAAAUUUAACUCUAUUCCAUUUCGCACAUCUUGUGAAAUUGAUACUUCUUUGGUUUCUCUUUGCACAAUUCUCUUCAAUUGCUCACAUCUUCUUCAUUUCAACUCCAAAUCAUGAGCUAUUUGAAGAGUUGGAUUCUUUACUUCUUCAAAUUCAAAAUCAUAUGUGGAAUCACUCAAAAAGAUUAUGAAAGUUGCUCCAAAAUUCCCUUUGAGAUAGUAUGUCCACUUGGGUGAUCCUAAAGACACGUGUUCAAGCAAAUUAUGCACACAGUAGUUAAUUCCUUAAUUCGAAACUUGACAUGAGUUCUUUGUGAGUUAGUGUACAUGUCAGUUGAUCACAAAAUAGGAGGAUUUAUAACUUAAUGACUUUAGAAUUGUUCUUCAUCAUAAAGAAAUCACUUGUGAACAUCUGAAUCUUUGGUAAGCACUCUAAUCUCACUCUUCUAGACCCUAAGAAUGUAUUGAAUGCAUAUUUUUCCACUAUAUGUAGGUUCUAGUCGCUUUAAGGAAGUUUCAUGCACCUAACAAGGUCUAGGGCUAGGGGACAAAGUUAUCUGAAGUUUCCUACACUAAAAUCAUUAAUGACUUUGAUCUACUGGUGAGACACUAAGGUUGUUAUAUAUUCCUAAUAGAUUGGUCACUAUUAAUGGAAAUUAGUGACAACAUGUAUAUUCAAGAGAGGCACCACAAUAUCUCAUUGGUUUGAGACAGUGUGUCCUCUUAGGUGAUCCUAAUGACAUGUGAUUAGGAAAUAUGUGGUUAUAAUAAUUCCUUAAUUAGAAUUUGACAUAUACUCUUAGAGAGUUAGAAUAUGUUAGUUGAUCACAUAAUAAAAGGAUAUGAGACUCAAAGAUUGCAGAGGUAAUUUUGAGAGGUUGAUAACAUAUACUUUGUUAAAUUACGGAUACUAGUUCCUAGAAAGUCUACAAACAAUGGAUAGUAGGUCAUAAACUUGAGUUCUUGUAGUGUAAUUGACUCUUUAUAGUAGGAUGUUGAGUUAACUUUAAAACUUAGAUUAUGAGGGAGCUAAUAUAUUUCUAUAUGUUUUAGUGAUCUCCGCUCAAACUUAUAUUUUUUUAUGGCACAUUUAUUGAGGGGUAUUUAGGUUAUUUAUUCAUAUGUGUGAAUAACAGUAUUUUAGUUAAUACUCAAGAUUGCACAAGAGCUUGUAAAUGGUCUCUCUAGACUAGGGUAAUAGAUUAAUUAGAGACUGAUAUGACCAAUUAAUUAAUUAAGACCCAAGUAGAUUGGAUUAGGGGUUUAUAACUAUAUAAAUCCACAAAGAAGCCUAUAUAAACCCUCUUAGAGGUUUAAGCCUUCAUUUUUGACAUUACAAUCUUCCUAUUCACUUCAAAGAGAAGAAAUGCUUAGUCACCACCCCUCUAUGAUACUUCCACUACCUUCAGUGAUAAGAGUAAAGGAAAGAGAGUUAUCAGGUGGAAGAUUCCUAGGCUUGUGAGAUCCAAGUUAUUCUUUAUCGACAAGAAACAAUUGAGGAACAUUCAAGUAUAAAGUAAAACACUUUAAACCUCUAGAUCUACAUUUUUUUUUUUUUUAUGUUUGUAUUCUUCUACUUGUUAGAUCUGGAGAGCUUUAAGAAGAUUUUUCAUGAUUUUUCGAUCCAAGGCUAAGAAUGGAGUAAUCUAUGGAUUCCCACAAAUAAUUUAUACAAAUUACAUUCUAAUGGUUCUAUCUUAUAUUAAAAUAAAGGUCAUUAGUUUUUGUGAAAUUAAGGCUAGUCUUAUUAGGAAAAUCAACCAAGAGGGGGGUGAAUUAGGUUUUUGAAAAACUUUUCUAAUCACUACAAAUUUAAUAAUAAUAAUAAGGCAUAAAUAUAAAAAAAUUGAGUUAGAGAGAGCAAAUGCAAAUUUUAUAGUGGUUCGACACCCCUUGCCUACAUCCACUCUUCUCAAGCUCCAAUCGAUUGAGGGUUCCACUAUCCUUGAAACUUCAACUAAGCUUCCAAUGUCUUUACACUUGGAUUUUGGCUCUAAGGGGCACUUACACAAUCCCUUUAAGAAUUUACCAACUUGAAGCUGUCAAUGCUCACAAAACUCACAUAAACAACAAGGAAGUAAACUCUCAACCUAGCUCAAUAAAUGCUCAAAUAAAAAAGAAGGUUAGGAUGAAUGACAAAGGGUGCACUAAAGAGUAUGCAAGUGAAGAAUCAAUGCACCAAAGAAAGAAAAUAAGAGCUUUAAAUGAAAAACAAGUAAUUAGACAAUUGAUUGCAUGUGUUCCCUUACUCAUAAAUGAAGUAAAGUUUUCUAUUUAUAGGUUUCUAGUCUUGAGAACCAAAAAUAACAUAAAAAUGCCUCAUCCGGUCGAGCUCCGAUUCAAUCGAUUGACUAGUCGUUGGGCAUUAAAUGCAUAGUUAGUGACCGUUAGGCCUCAACCGAACCUCAAUUGGGAACACCUAGCCCUCAACCAGGAAAGGUCUCACCCUCAACCAAGAAUGAAACCUUUCUAGAAGAGAAAGAAAAAAAAAUUGCAUCUCUCGAUCGGAAUUAGAUGGAAUAUAGAAAAUCUUAUGUCCUAAGCCUCUAAAUUUGUUCAUUAUGUAUUUCUUUUUAUAUUAAUUUUGUUCUUAUUAAUUAUUUAUAUAUAUUAUUAUUUUGUGCUUAAAGUGUCUAUAAAUAAUUAAAAUCAAUAACUUUGAAAAGAUGAAAGAGUAAAAAUUUGAAAUUAAAAAAUCUUUCAUAUACAUAUAUUUAAAAAAAAAAAAAGUCAAAGGUAUUAUGGAGAAAGGAAAAGAUAAAAAAUAAAUAAAAAAUAAAAAAUCGUGAGGCAUGAUUGGUUACUACAAUUCAUAGUUUUCUUUUUUAUAUAUAUAAAAAAAAUUAAACAAAAAUAGACAACCAUGAUGAGCUUUGCAUCUUUGAUUUGUCGUGUCAAAGUUAAAAAAUAAAAUAAAAAAUGAGGUAGUUAAUUGAAAGUAAAGGUGGUUUAGAAAGUAGUUUUGGAAUUUUGAUAAUAUCAUGCAUGUUUGUAGGAUUAUUUUCUCCAAAAUGUAUGUGUUUUGAAAGUCAAAAGUCAAAAUUUUCAACUUUUUUUAGGUGUUGCAUGAUUAUAUGAUUCUCAUCCAUGGUUUCAACAUACUUCUUGGAAUUGGAGCUUUCUAGGAAUUUUGAUUUAGGGUUUCUUAAUUAAUAAGGGUAAAUUUCUAGGGAAUUAGAGCUUUCUAAAAGGUCACCAAUUUUAUGAAUUAGCAAAGACAACUUAGAAGAGGAUAAUUUUACUUCUUGAAUGACAUUUUUUUUCCUAUUGCUCCUUAUAAAUAUAAGAAAAACAAAAUAAAACAUGAUCCAAUGGUUUACUUAUAUAAUUUGUGAAAAAAGAAUGAGAGAUACUUAAAUCAAGAAAACCACAACAAAACCCUAAACUUUAACCGUUUGAUUCCCUUAUCGUCGAUAUUUUCUCCAUAAACAACUACAUGGAAAAGCUUAACUCUUUUUCACAAGGCACACUAAUCUCUUUCUCUCUAUAGAUCUACUUCUUUUCUUCUUCUUUUUUCAUGAGAAGUCCCUUUGUAGUGGUUUUGAUUUCUAGGGUAUCAUUUCGAGUAUUUAAGAAAUUCAAAGAUUUCAAUUUUUAGGUUUUCAUUUUAGAUCCUUCUAUUUUUUCACACCCAAAGAAAACAGGGAACUCUCCAAAAAAACAUUGGUAUUCAAUCUUACACCUCUUUUUUGAGGGCAUGACAAAUGGGAUCUAAAUAACAUAUUGGGCUAUUGGGUUUUGGUUUGUUUUGGAAGUCCUUUUUAAAUUGAAUUUGUUUUAUAUUUCCAUCACCUUCUCCCUUUGUCUCCACCAUUUUUAUUACCACACUCUCUUCUAUUACUAUGAUUUUUAUUUUUCAAUGUUGCUUGUUAGGUUUUAAUUCUAGGUUUUUGUUUUAUAUUUCAAAGGCUUAUAGCUAGCUCCAAGUGUACAAAUAAUAACAUCAUUUUGAUUCUCUUAUUAUUAUUAUUUUUUAUUCAACAUGGAUUAGGACAAAAUCCUUAAAAGCAUAACAUGAUGUAAAAAUAAAUGAUUUUUUAUUAUUAUUUAUAAUAUGUUUCCAUUUUCCCAUUUAUAUAUCUAUCAUUUUUUCAUACUUCAUAUUUUAUGAGUAUUGAAGCCUAGCAUCACUUACAUUAUAAAUAAUUUGGAUGUAUUACAAAUUGUAUAGAAGAUCGAAGUCAUAGGUUUCUUGUAAGUUAAUUAUUCAUUAACAGUUGAUUAAGCAAUGUAUUUAAGGUUAUAGUGUACUACCUUCUAAUUGGAUGAAUGACUUGCUUUAGUUUUUAGGAUAAGGUUUUCAUGGUGAAUGCAUUAGUAUAAAUGGUUAUACAAUAGACAAAAUCUAUAAUGAGUCAUAAUAUUGAUUAUUAAGUAGUCAUGAUUUCACCAAAUUACUAUAUGGUAUAUAUUCUUAACUUUAAGAGAAUAUUAAGGUAGUGUUGGGAUCUUUAAUAACUUUGACCUAUUUGUGAAACCUUAAAGUAAACAUAUAUUCCUUAUAUCAAGGAUCUUAUAACAUUUAUUAAAAAAAACCUAAUUAUUUAUUCUAAGUAAAAUAGUAGUACAUAAACUCAACAGCUAGUCUCUAUUGAGUGUAUAUGGUUGCAGUAGGGGGAGAAGUCUCAAGAGACUCCGGCACAUCAGAAGGGCUCACCCUUGAGUUCAUAGUCGCAGUAGGUGGAGAGGCCUCAAGAGGCUCCGGGCAUCAGAAGGGCUCACUGUUGACCACCUUGCAGAGAUCCAUUCAUCUCCAGUGGAACGAGAAGACAAAUUUGACAGUCUUUCAUUAGGAAUCUCAGUUUGUCCAUUAUGAAAGAAAUGUACUAAUUGAACAGUCUUCAUCCAGACACUUUCAUCACUUCUGGAUGGCUGUUUACGAUUAAAAUCGAUGAGCAGGCGAAGGAAGAACAGUACAAUGUAGAGGGUGGAAGUGGCGCCACAUAAAAGGUAGAGAGCCCAGAAGUUCCCGAGGCUCAGUUCAUCAUUUUCGGUGGCUGAACACUCGGCAGAACAAGGAAACCACUUUUCUUCUAAUGCUUUUAGAAUCCUCUUCUCAGAUAUGGUUAGGAUGGCUUCAGAAACAUCAGCAGCUAAUGGAGAGCCUUUCUGAAAGGCCUGCAUGGAGAUCAACAAGGAUGACAUGACCAAAGCUAAUUUCAUUGUGACAAUGCUAAAAGAAUUCCAUAUGCUAUCCUACUCCACUGAGCAAUGGUUCAACUAAUUCAAUUCCUACCACCAGUCAAGGGAUGGGACAAUUUUCUUUGGGGGAAAAGGGCAUCAACAAAUCAGUUUGGGCCACUUCAUACAUGUGUUAAGAGAAGUUGCAGAAAAUUUUAGAGAAUGCAAAUGGGGAAGAGUUCCAGUUACUACUCACAAAGACUAAUCCUCCAAAUCUGUUGAGGGGUUGGCCGGCAGUGUAAUUCUUGCAGAACUGGCUGGUGAAAACUUUUGCAUAAGGAAGUUGAAGAAAGGCAGCUGACAUGUUCCCACUCUGGAAUUCGCCAGGAUAUUGGUAUUGGUUGCUAAUAUUCUUGAUAUCAGCUCCUUCGAAUUUAAACACGUUCUCUAAGUAUUCCCUCGUAAAUGCAGCACCAUCACAACCAACCACAGACCUAGUAGCUUUUAGCCAUUCGAUAUCCAUCACAUUGGGUUCAAGUCGUCGGACAGUGAGCAUUGAAGAGAGACUAGCAGUGUAGCUCGAGGUUAAAACGAAGACUACAAACAGCCACACCACUAUCACUACUCGAGUAAUAUUGCUACGAAUUGUCUCCCCUGGAAAAUGAAACAAUGGCUAGCUUUCUGAGUUAUUUAAUUAUUGAGCAACCAAAAUCUCUUCCAUUUUUAAUAUUACUACUUACUAUGAGCAAAGAAAAGAGAAGAGAAGGUGAACCAAAGAGCAGUCCCGAGCUGACUCUUCCAUGGGCCUCUGAAUGCUGGAUUAUUGGAUUGGUACGAUCCAGUACCCAAACUAUGAACAUGGUGUAGAUCAAGAGGGCACCUGUGACUACCCACAUUUCCAUGGUGAAAGGCUUCAGGAACAUCCAUGCCUUGUGAGGUUCUUUAGGCCUUGCUUGUAUUAUCACCAAUCCCGACUCGGCAUAUGGCAGUGUGAAUUCCACUUUUUUUGAACGGGUGGCAAGUAUAGUCACAUCGCCAACCACAGCAUCAAAGGUCUUCCAUGUAUUUGAUAGGCAUAAAAUCUCUCAGAGACAAAUGAUUGAAACAAAUAUGAAGUAUGAUUCAGGAAUUCUGAGCGUUAAUCUUCUGUACUAUGUUCACUGCUGUCUCAUGGGGAUAAAGUCAAAACUUAAUAUACCAGAAAAGUCUACCGGGCAGGAUUUCUUUGGGAGGCAUAAAAAUUGAGAAGUUUCGAGGGUUUGAAAAACCUAAUUAUGGAAAUAUAUAUUUCAUAUAAAAUCUUUCAUAAACUCCGGCGCUCUUGUAGAAAAGCAGGCAAGUGUUAACUAGAGAGGUUCAGUUUGACUUUGAUUAUCAUUUAUCAAGCGAUUGUUUCAAUUGUUUUCCUUUAAACAAACGACAUGUUAAUUUGGUCAGCAAGCAAGACAUGCUUUUUGAGAAAUUAGAAAAGGGGGAAGGUUUACUGAUGAAAUCACAACACAAACACCUGCUGAAGUUACAAAUAAAUCUUGGUCGCUAAUGUGAAGUUGAGAUUUAAUUCUGGUGUGGGGAAUAUCAUGAUUAUUGAGAAAGAUUUAAAGAGCUAAGGCUAGAGAUAGGAGUAAAUACCUUGUUAUAAACACAAUAUUCAACCAGCUCGUCAUAUGUGCCAAAAAAUGGAUGGAACUUGUAGGGUAGAGAGUAAUUUUGCUCCAGAAUUUUUACCACCUCUCGGAAAAUAUCAAUACAGAAACCAGUAUAUUUUUUUUCAGGCUCGAUUUGAGCUUCGCCCACCUCCACAAAAUUUUUAAAAGUGCCGUUAGCUGGAAUUCCAAUCUUCAAUGGUUUUGGAUCAGUGGGCAUUUCCCAUCCCUUGGGGACACGUUUUAGGUACCCUGGCCAAAUCACUGGACCCUCCAAAAUCCUUGUGGUGUUUCUACCGCUAUUUUUGUCUCCACCUUCUCUGCUGAAAGGGUUGUCCAAGUCCUGUGUCCAAAAGUCAAGAUCCUUGUAGCCUUUUCCAACAAAGUUUAUAAUCCUGAAUGGCAACGAAUUUGAAUUUGAAAAAUUAAUUGUUCCACUUAAACCACUAAAGUUGCUUGAUAAUAUAUUUUUUAACAACAUUUUUGGAGUAUCAGUAUCACCAACUAAUCUCUCCAGGGCCCAUGUGAUGACAGCAAUGCCAUCAUAUGCUCGUAGUGCAUGAAUUCCUGGCUGGCCGUUGUCUUCCUUUGGAUAUUCAGAUUUAAAAUUUUUCUGAAACUGGGCAGAGAAUUCUUGGAAGGGCCUAUUGGAUUUGGAAUAGCAGGACUUGAUUCCUAGAGCCCCUUCCAUAUAGGGGAUAACAGAGGUGUCCAUGGAAUCCAGGAAGCUUGAAAUGCUAUCUGUAACUAUCCAGGCUGAGUCUUUCCCCAUAAAAUCCAUCCGCCUUGCUUCUUG